GGAAUUUGAAAUGGUAUCAGGCUGCUUUGGAGGGUUCAAAGUGGCAGUGUAUGUGGCUGUUAUAAUUAGCACUGUGACUACUAAAAAUGUGUUACGCGUCUCAUGUGGGAUUCCCUUCUUUCCACGACUUGCUAUUGUUGCAAUUUUUUGAAGAACUGACACCUUUCCUUUUAAAGAUUCGAUGGGGAUUGAAGAGAUGGAGGCUUUGGGAAGCGAGGAAGAGGAACCACGCAAACCUCCUGCUUUGCUUAUCAUAUCUUUAAUGGACUCCUUAUAGUCCACUCUCCCUUCAUCCAAUGGGUAUUGUGAUGGGAUAUCAAGUGCAGUCAAUCCCUCCGCAUUUUUGGCAUUGAUAUGGUCUCCACACAAGCGUUUCAGCAGUACUUUUACCACCUGUUAAUUAGAAUAUUCAUACAAGUAACCUUUGAGUAUAUAUAUACAUAAAUAAUUUUACUAGCAAAAUUAUCAUACCUGAGGUCUGUUUCUGAUAGUAGCAACAUGUAAAACAGUGUUGCCAUCAAUGUCUGCCCAACUCAGUAGUUCUUUCUCCCAACGGUUGGCAGCUUUAUGGCGGCUCCUUAUAAGCCACCCCACCAAGACUUGGAAAGCUUCAAACCUGUCAUUUUUUACGGCAAGAUGGAAAACCGUCUCAUCUCGAACAGUCACAUCUUCAAUAGCCUCGGGGCAAACCUCAAGGAACUUGAUCAAAAAAUCAACAUUUCCAUUUUGAACCACAUGAUGCAAAGGAGUGAAGCCCUCCCGCCCUUUGACACGAACAAGGCCUUCAUCAAACCUGAGGAGUCGAAGCACUGCUAGAGUUUUUUGAUUUUGCAGAGCCAAGUGCAUGGGGCUAAACCCAGCUUGGUUUAGCUUUCUUGCAAACGAUGGCUUUAAGUUGAUCAUCUCCAUCAUAAAAUCAAUAUGCCCUGCAGAAGCUGCUACAUGCAAAGGAGUAUGGAAAAAAGGUACAUCAUCGAUACGCUGUAAAACAUAUGGAUCAUUCAGAAUUAACUCAUACAAGAUGUUUAUGUCUCCUGUUUGUGCAGCACCUAUCAUCCUCUCAUCCAUAGCAAGGUGCGGAAAUUUGCAGAAUAUAGAAAUGGAGUGAAGAAAAAACGCUUUAGCAGAGGAUAUGAUUAUGUUAAGGAUAUAAUGAAGUGUUUGAUUAUUUUUUCCAGAUGAAGUGUUAGACAUUUUAUAGCACUUAAUUAUUUUGGAUUUAUAUGUGAUGUCAGCCUCUACACGUAUAUACGUGAAUGUCACCUAUUAGAAAGAAAUAGUAAUUAAAUUCAUAUUUAAUAUACAUUUUUAAUCUAAUUUUUUUAAUUCAAUUUAAUUUUAGUUAAAACGUUUAAAAACAUUUAUUUAAUCUAAUUUCUUUAAUAUAUUAAAUAAAAAAGAAAUAUUAAAUAAAUUGGAUUAGAGAAUAUAUUGAAUAUGGAUGAAUACUGUAUCAUACUAAUUUUAUGUCUCUAAAAAUUUUAUAUAUUAUUUAGUGGUUUAAUUUUUUAAGAACAUUUGAUAUAAUUCAUAAAGAAAACAAAUAAUAAUUAAUAAUAAAUUUUUUAAUAAAAAAGGUGUGAAAAAUGGUAAGUAGAUAAUAGCUAUUAUCGCUUACAACAUGUUUGGAUUAAAAAGAAGAAAAAAGAAGGGAAAAUUAAGUAAAUUGAGGGAAAGAAAAUUCGGUUUCUUUGUUUAAGUAAAGAAAAUUAAGUAAAUUUUUUAUCGUAUCAUUAGAUUUUAUAUUUUAGAUUAUUAUCUCUUCUUCUUCUUUUUAACUUGUAACAAUCUUAUUUUUAUUUUCUAUUUUUUUAGGUUACUAGAAAUAUUUAAUUUUAAAUUUGUUUGAUAUAUAUUUUUAAAAAUUUUAACAAUAUUUUUUUAUUAACUAUUUUGUUAAAUUAUUAGGAAUCCUUCAUUUAUAAUUUGGUUAAGAUUUUUUUUUUAGUUUGAUCAAAUAAGCUUAUUAAAAAAAGAAUAUACCAAUAUAUUAUUGGUUAACAUUUUAAUUAUUAUUUUAUAUAGAAUAUUGAUAUUUUUCUAUAAAUUUAAUUUGCUGUGAUUUAAUUUUGUUAUUAUAUAUUAUUUAUGAACUGUUAAAAUUAAAAAAUAAAAGUAAAAUAAUUCAUUUUCUUUCCUUUUCACAGUUUAGCAAAACAAGUCCACAGGCUCGUCUCAUUCAAAAAAAGUAAAUUAUAUAUAUAUAUAAGGGCUAGUUUUAACAAAUGAAAAAUAUAGAAAAACUAUAUUAAAAGAAAUGGGGAAGGGAAAAGAACAGAGGGAGAAACAGAAGAGAAUGAAAAAUAAAGAAAAGUUAAAAUAACAUAAAAAAAAUUAAGGGUGGGUUUGGAUGGGCGAUUGGGUGCGGUGCGGUGCGUUUAGCUUAUUUUUUGUCUCACACUACAGUGUCGCUACAGUAUCUAAUCUCACCGCCACCGCUGUUUUUACACUAACUGCAGGUAAACGCACCGCCCAUCCAAACCCACCCUAAAUUGAAUUGCUCAAAACGAAAAAAUUAUAGGAAUCGGUUGUAUAAAUCACCCUAAAAUUUUUGUUUGAAAGAUGAUUUAACAUGUCACAUCAGUUUAUCGUUACACCAUUAACGGAAAUUAACAGCUCAGUGACUAAAAUGUUACAACGUGAUAACGUAAAUGACUAAAAUGUAACGUUUCAAACAUAAGUGACUAAAAUGUAAGCAAAAGUGACUAUUUUAAUAAUUUACCCUUGCAUUUAUCCAAACAUACGCUUAACGUAAACAUUUUUUUAAUUAUUUUUAUUUUAUUUUAUUUUUUACCAUUAUCCGUUAUCCUUAUUUUUAAAAAGUAUAAUUAAUAAAUAGUAUAAUUAUUUUUUAAAAUUAAUUUUAAGUAAUACACCAAAUAGAUUUUAUAACUUAAAUUUAAUAUUUAAUUUUAUAAUUUUUUUUUAUCAAACAACGUUUACUCCUAAGUAAAUAAAUAAAUAAAGGCCUUGUGUAAUUAAGAAAGUUGAGAAAGAGUUAGUCCUCACAUUGGCUAAAAUAACGGAGGAAAGAGAAAAAUUGGCCAAUAAUGGGGAGGCAAUGUCAAUGAGCAUACCCCACACAUACUAUUUACUGUCAAUGGUGAUGGCUGAAUUGGCUACUAUACAUGGAUUUUGUUUUCCUUUUCUUUUUUGUUCUUGUCCUGUAUUAUUUGCAUUUGUGAUCCCAAACUAUGUAAAAUUCCAGUCACUAUGUGAUCACAUUUUAAAAAAAAAAUUAUUUAUUAUCGAUUGAGUAUCAGCUUGAUUGGUAUAAAUAUUAUUGUUAAUGUAUAAGAACAUAAAUUUGAGUGUGUUAAAGCGCAUUAUCCUCUUAUUUAUAGAUUGAGAAGUGGUUAUUGGUAGUUCUAGACAUUGUGUAGAAAAGAAUACAUAUAAUCAGAAUCUAUAUUAAAAUUUUUCAAAAAAAUAUAUUUAUUACACAUGAAUUAAAAGAAAUCUAUUUAUGGGUAGUUCAAGAUUGUUGAAGCUAUAAAAUAAAAAUUCAAUUCGAAAAUAUAAAUCUCUUUUGUUUAACAAAAUAUUAAUAAUUAGUUGAGUUAAUAUUAUGAGUCAAUCGAACACCAAUUUAAUUAAGAAAUUACGAAAAUAUCGUUCCAUAAUUAAAAUAAAUUAUAUUAUUUGAGGAUAUUUUAAUAUUUUUUAUGUAAAAAAAAAUCAAUAAAAAUAUGAAUAUGAUGGGAUUUGAAAUAAAAUCUAGAAUUUACCACUCAACCAAAAUUUUAUUUUAUUAUAUUUUAUACAUUUUUAUUUUAAUAAGCACACUUUAUUAUCUCCGUCAGUUAUAUAUAUAUUAAUAAAUUUAUUGAUUGAGUUGAUAUCACAAGUCAACUCAAUACUAACCGACAAUUGAAGACAACACUUUGAUAGACAGUUGUAGUGCAUUUAAUUAAUAUUUUUAUUUUGAUGUAUUUAUGUGUUUAAAUUUUAUUUUUGCUCCCAAAUUAAUUUAAUUUUUUAUUUUAAUGUCAUACAUAUUUUAUAUAUUCUUAUGAUUAAUUAGCUUCAAACCAUAUGUUUUAUUAUUUAUUUUAUUUUUUUAAGCAUAUAUCUGUAUUCCAAAUCUAAACGCAAUUGCUUAUGUUAGUCAAUGUUACAAAUUGAGAAAUUUAUUAAAACUAUUGAAAUCUUCACAUCUAACCUGGUUUUAUCAUGUUUGGAAGACGCUAUUGAUCUUCUUCAAGUGGUUUUUUCACAAAUAUACUAUUCAUAUAUAUAAAAUAUGAUGAGUAAUAAUGUAUAGUGACGUGUCCAAACACUAAUUGAUGAAAAAAGUGAGUAAUAUUUUAUUACAACAUGAUGCCUUUUCAUAGUAUAAAAUGACUAUGCGAAUGAGGGCUUCCUACCAUUACCAGAAAGCUGAGGCUGUAGGAAUGAUGGCUUUUGCAAGUUGUGAUUUUAGGAUUUUGUGUUUGAUUAUUGUUUAGUUAUGCUAAAAUGUCACAUAUGGGUACUGUUUUAAGUUAUGUGUGAAUUCUAAGUUGAAUAUGUAGCCGCCUAAAAUAUUUAGGAGCGCUAAUUGAGAUCAUUACGAAAGAAAAUUGUAUUCUAACGGUGUAUGAAAAUUUGGACAAAAAUCUCAACUUUUUAUUUUUUUUUAAAUUUUAUUUUUGCUCCCAAAUUAAUUUCAUUUUUUAUUGUUGUACAUAUUUUAUAUAUUCUUAUGAUUAAUUAGCUUCAAGCCAUAUGUUUUAUUAUUUAUUUUAUUUUUUUAAGCAUACAUCUGUAUUCCAAAUCUAAACACAAUUGAUUAUGUUAAUUAAGGUUACAAAUUGAGAAAUUUAUUAACACUAUUGAAAUCUUCACAUCUAACCUGCUUUUAUCAUGUUGGGUAGAUGCUAUUGAUCUUCUUCAAGUGGUCUUUCACGAGUAUACUAUUCAUAUAUAUAAAAUAUGAUGAGUAAUAAUGUAUAGUGACUGUCCAAACACUAAUUGAUGAAAAAAGUGAGUAAUAUUUUAUUACAACAUGAUGCCUUUUCAUAGUAUAAAAUGAUUAUGCGAAUGAGGGCUUCCUAACGAUGGCUUUUGCAAGUUGUGAUUUUAGGAUUUUGAUUGUUUGAUUAUUGUUUAAUUAUGCUAAAAUGUCAUAUAUUUGUGAGCCCUACACUCACAUCAAAUUUAGAUAUGACAAACAUGAUUUAAAACAAAACCAUAUUAUAUUACUAGCUGUGAGCAAUUUAAAGAAAUUGAAUUUCUUUUUUACAAUUUUAAGUUAAUCAAUUAUUUGAUUUUUUAAAAUUAACUUGAAUGAGUGAUUUUGUUUUUCAAGUUUAAGUCAAGUUGAAUUUUACAACUCAAAUAUAAAUAUCUCUUGGGUCACUGAUAGUUUUAAAAAUGUACAAACUGAUCUGUCUCAAAAAUUUUAAAAAUUCAAAAUGAUCUUCUAAAACUCAAAAUAUUUAUAAAAUAUUUUCCCAAAAUUUUAUAAAUACAUAUAAAUUCAAAGAAUUUACCACUUAAAAAUAUAUAAAAAAUAUUAAAUUAUAUUUUUUGAAAAAAUUAAUAAAAUAAAUUUGAGGUCUUAAAUAAGUAACUUAUUAAUUCAAUUUUAUCAUACUAAUUAUCUUGUAUUCCAAGAGUUUUCAUAUAUAUCAGGGGCGAAGCCAGAAAAUUUUUUUUUAGGGGGGCAAAAUGAAUUUUUUAUUUUUAAUAGUCUAUAUCUUUAUAUUAAUAUUUGAACUGGUAUAAAUUAAGAUUGUUACGUCUAACAUUUAUAUCGAAUAAUUUUUACUAUAGAGAAAAGAAGUAAAAAUAAUAAUAUAUGAUGUAAAAUUAUUAAUUUGAGUCUUAACACAGUCGGUAUUUGUAUGUUGUUUAUGUAAUAUGGAGUGAGUUCAAGUAUGUUCAUGUGUAAUUUUUCUUUCUAUUUAAAGGUUGGAGAGGAGUUAGGGUGAAGCUAGAAUUUAUUUUUUUUGGGAGACGAAAUUAAGUUGUAUAUUUUUAUGAGAGUUAAAAUACAAUUUCACAAUUUCAAUAGAUUAUAUGUUUACAAUUUUUAAAGAACUAAAUCAAUAUUUUAUCAUUUUUUGGGGCUAAAGUACAAUUUUACCAUUUAUUAACUUAAAAUUUUAUAAACUUAAUUUAAAGGGUUAAAAUUUGAAUUUCACAUUUUAAAGGGAGGGAUAGAAACCCUUCUAGGCUCCCCUCUUGCCGCCCCCCUAAGAUGAUAUAAAGUAAAGCAAUAAGUGUCUAAAAUAUAUGAAUUAUGAGUACUGAUUACACUUGACCAAUUGCUUUUCUUCAAACAAAGCAAACACUAAUGCACAUGAAAAUGCAAAUUCACAUGCAACCUAGAUAUGCAUUCUAUAUACAAUGCAAUGCAAUGAAUAAAUAAAUAAAUAAAUAUAUAUUAUUUAAUCAUGAGAGUUUUGAUCCCCUUGUGAUUCUUUAACCAACCAUUCUCACACCUAAUUAUAAUUCUAGUAUAGUAAAAGUACGUGAGUGAGUUGAAUGGAUGGUGGUUGUUUGACAUAACAUGUAGAAAGUGAAAAAAUAGUUGAAAAUAAAUCAAGUAUUAAAACAAAAAAUUUAUGAAAGAAAUUCUAGUAUUAUCAAUUUUUCGUGAGGCUCAAAGCUAUUUGGAACAAAAAUAAAAUCAAUGUGUAUAGGCUUAACAAAAUAGCUAUCAUCUUGCAUUGUUAUUUCAUCCUAACCUCUUCCCUCAUAACUUCAUCUUCUAUUUUCUGUUUGACAUUAUCAAAAGUAAAACAUAGUUUUUUUAGGUUUUUCGACUAUUUAUGCAUCAAACUUUUAGGCCAUUUUGGACAUCUUCAUAAUGUUUUUGGGCUUUAAUCUAAGAAAUAAAUUUAGAUAGAUCUUUCAAGUCACAUCAACAUUUCAUAAAUGAUUUAAUAAAUGAGUAAUAAAAGGAUUUAGGGUUAAUGUGCAAAUUUGUCACUAUACUUCAAUUUGAUUGGUAUUUGAUAUUUGAUAUUGAAUUUUAUUGCUUUAAUUUAAUUGAAUUUUGCCACUAAAAUUAGAAUUUUUAUUGAAUUUUCUAUUCAAUUUAAAUUUAAAAUAACUUGAAGGCUAAGUUGAUUAAAAAAUAGUUUUAUAUUUCGCUUUAAUAUUAAAAAAUAAUAAGUUAAUUAAUAUAAUAUUAAAUUUAAAUAAAAUAGUUAUUUUAUAAAAUAAAUUUUUUUUUCUCUUUUAUGAGAUAUGGACUCAUUAACAAUAGAAAUUCUAAUUUAAUUUAUUAAUUUUUAAUAUUUAUAAGUUAAAUUAUUGUUAAAUAUUAAAAUAAAAUAUUUGAAAGAAUUUUUCUUAUUAUAUAUAUUAUGUUUUAAAAUCAUCAAAUUAAUAUUGAGUGGUAAAAAUUAAUUAAAAAAUUGAUUUGGAGAAAUUUUUUAAUAAAAUUGAAAAUUUAUAGUAAAAUUCAAUCACAUAAUAGUUGAUUGAUAAAUUUACACAAAAACUUAAAAUAUAGCUAUGAAUAUCAAUGAAAAUAAAGUAUAGUAGCAAAAUUCAAAGUAUAGUGACAAAUCAUAUAAGUUCAAUGAAUAAAAGAAAUAAAAAAUUAAAUAUAUGAUUAAAAAGAUUUUUUUUUUUUUACGAAAUUGAAAGAUCAAAUAAAUCAUUAUACGUAAUAUAAACAAAAUCACAAGUAUCCUUAAACUUGGCUUAAUUGCCAAUUAGACAAUUUAGGAUGUCAGAUGCAUAAUCAACAAUUUGGAGAUAAAAGGAUGAAUAACCAAGUAUUUUUAUAAAUAAAUUUGUUUUAGAAGAAUGGGAUGAGUUUUAGAGUAUAUAGAGAAGUAGGGUAGUUCUUCCUUCUCCGCAUAGUGGUUUUGCCUACAAUAAUGAAGCAAAGGGAAAAACACGAGGAUGAGAUGCAAUGAAUUCCCCUUGCAUACCCAAUACGUACUAUUUACUAUUUCUUUUCCCACUGAGAAGUUGGUAUUUUGGAAUUAUCGUUUUCAGCUCUACAAAUGUUCUUGGUGCUGUGUCUGUCUUUCUUUGGUGGGUUCUUGCUUUCUGAAUCUGGUUCUACUGUCGAUUUGGAUGGUUAGGAUACAGCGCUUCAGGCAACUGAUGUUCAAAAGGUUCGAUGGCAUUGGGGAUAUGAUGAUUUUAAGUUUAUUGUCGCCCCAUCAGUUGGUUGUUUGGGUGCACAACUAAAUUUUAGUAUUAUUUUAUUUUCCAUAAUUAUAUUUAUUUAAAUUUUAUAAAUAUUUUCUAAGUCUUAAGAUUUUAUUUUUUGCAUUUUAUGAUUUCUUUUUUUGGAUUUUUAAUGGUUUUUAAAUUUUUAUAAUUUUUCUAAAAUGUUUUAAGUAUUUUGAUUGUGUGAGGUUUUGUGAAUGAAGCGAAGGGUAUCUUUAUUGUGGUGAACUUUUAAUUAGCUCAAAAUGAAGUGAUUUAUUACGUCGUGUGAUUUACGGAUAAGUGUUAAAAAUGAAAUGAAUUGUUGAAUUUGAAAACAAUGGUGUAAUAUUGCAGGGAUUUCCAACAUUAUCAUAAAUUUUAGUGAAUUUAGAGACGAAAUCACAGGUCCACUGAGUUUUGUUCAAAUUUAGGGAUUUCAUCGUCAUAUACGGUCGAUUUGGAUAGUUAGCAUACAAAGCUUCAGAUCAUUGAUGUUCAAAAGGUUUGGUGGCCAUGGGUAUAUGUUGAUUUUGAGUUUAUUGUUGCCCCAUAAGUUAGUUGCACUAAAAAAAUGGGUAUUACCGAUGCUAAAAAUUGUUACUAAAAUUUUAUUGUAGCAAUAAAAGUUGUUGCGGGAUUGUUGUGUAUAUCUUUGUUGUCUAAAAUAUAUGCAACUCUACUCAAUUACACAAUAUUUACUCUUAAAUAUGACCUAUUCAACCACCGAUUUCAGCACAUUAAACACAAAUUAAUAAUCUAGAAAUAUCAAACCAAGAAUUAAAUACACAUAAUUGAGAACAAUAAAUUAAGUGUUUAUUGCAUAAAAUAAAAAAUAAAUGAUAGAAUCCAUCAUAGAGUUCACCUCCCUAGGUAUUUAGAAAAUUAGUUCAAGCUUGAAAAUAAAAACAUCCAAGAAAUAGUACAACCAAAAGAAAUAAAGAAAUUCAUGAUAAUCUCCUAAGAAAUCAACUGAGAAUCUUCAAUCUUGACAGAAAUUUGCUUCCAACUUGGCUUCAAUGGUAUUUUUCGAGUUGUUUUCUUGAAUAUUUUAUGACGGCACUCUCAUAUCUUCUUAAUUUUGUCAUAUAUACGUCUUAGAAUGCCCAAAAAACUUAAAAAUUGUGAUUUUAUGCUGUUUGUGUGGCAAUUCCACGAAAUCGACACAGCCUACUACACACCAGUGUGGGUCAUACGACUGUGUGCUUUCCUCGUGUGAAAUUUAGAAAAUGCAAAAGAUUCCCUAUGCACUAGCUGCUGGAAUCUAAUGUAUGCUCAAGUAUGUAUGCGUCCAGAUAUUGCAUACAUUGUUGGGAUGUUAGGCAAACAUUUAAGCAACCCUGGUAUAGACCAUUGGAUAACAACUGAAAGGGUUAUGAGGUAUCUUUAGAGAACAAAAUAUUACAUGCUCACAUAUUGGAUGUUUGAUAAGUUAGAGAACAUCAAGUUUACAGACUCCAAUUUUGAUGGAAUAUUGAUGCAACAUUUUGCCACUAGAGUGCAAACUGUGACAAUAAUUAGUAGUCUCUUAUUCCAAUAACAAUAAAAGCACAUCAAAGUCAAAGCACAUAGACUUUAAGUUCAUAGUUGUUAAAAUAAAAGUUCAGGGUGGUUAGAUGUCUAUAAAGUAUAUUGAGACAAACUUCAUGAUUGCGGAUUCGCUUACUAAGGGACCACCACCCAAAGUUUUUUUCAUGAGCACACUAUUGAUAUGAGUGUAAUGUCAUUCACUACAGAAUAAGUUUUUAGUGGCGUUAUUUUGGGGCUAUAACUGCCUUAUAAGCGUCGCUAAAACAACUUGCGGCGUUUUGAAAAGCACCGCUAAAAACGCCACUAUAGAACAUGACCUUUAGGGGCGCUUUUCCCACAAAUGCCGCUAAAAGUAUGACCUUUAACAGUGUUUGUGGGGCAAACGCCACUAAAGAACAUGACCUUUAGCGGCGCUUUCUCCACAAACGUAACUAAAUGUCAUGUUCUUUAGUGUCGUUUUUAGUAAAAGCGCCGCUAAAAUUCAUGUUCUUUGGCGACAUUUGUGGAAAAAUGCUACUAACUUUAGCAGAUUUUUACCAACCCAUUUUCAUUCAUAUAGAAUCCUAAUUGUUAACAUAAUUUCCUGUAACAUCAAAUCCAACCAAAAACUAAAAAUUUAAAUGAUACUUCAAUUCCAACGAAAGAAAUAUGUAUGUGAUCUAAAUCAGUAAAUGAAAUAACAAAAUAUAUUAUAUUCAAAAGUUAUAUUGUUAAAAUAUUCUCACAAUAAGAAAACAAACAUCUAAGAUGAUGGAUUCUACGACUGUUGAAACAUCUUCAUCAUAUUCUGAAGCUGUAGCUGGAGUUUGUCAUAUUUUUUGCUUGCCCCUGCUUCCCUUGCUGCCGCCUCCGCUUUAAGUUAUAGUUGGAGUUUUUCAUAUUUUCUUUAAGUCUUUGCUUUUCUCGAUGCUGCCUCCACUUUAAAUUGAGCAAUUUGCUCAACUGUGCUCGCUUGCAUUUGAACCAUCUGGUCUCUUAACCUCUGAACUUCAGCUUGAGCCUGAUUCUCUGAAGGCAUGUAUUGUUGCGAACUGGAUCCAAAAUAUUGGGUUGGGUUAACAAAAUAUCCUUGAAAUCAAACCCGACCAUACUUUUCGAGACCCAAAACUUCGGUAAUAAUUCAGUUAUCAAUGUCAUCAAUAUUAACAGAACUAUCACUUGAAGCGAUCGCUUCAUACUCUGCCCUUUUAUCCUUUAGUUUCUCCUAAUAAAUCAACCAAAGAGUUAGAAACGAAAUAUAUAAUCAAAACAAAUGCAAUAUAACUUUGGGAGUCUAAUGUAUGCUCAAGUAUGUAUGUGUCCGGAUAUUGUGUACAUUGUUUGGCUGUUAGGCAAACAUUUAAGCAACUCUAGUAUAGGCCAUUGGAUAACAAUCGAAAGGGUUAUGAGGUAUCUUUAGAGAACAAAAUAUUACAUGCUCACAUAUUGGAUGUUUGAUAAGUUAAAGAACAUCAAGUAUACAGACUCCAAUUUUGAUGGAAUAUUGAUGCAAAAUUUUGCCACUAUAGUGCAAAUUGUGACAAUAAUUAGUAGUCUUUUAUUCCAAUAACAAUAUAAGCACAUCAAAGUCAAAACACAUAGACUUUAAGUUCAUGGUUGUUAAAAUAAAAGUUCAGGGUGGUUAGAUGUCUAUAAAGUAUAUUGAGACAAACUUCAUGAUUACAGAUUCGCUUACUAAGGGAUUACCACCCAAAGUUUUUUUCAUGAGCACACUGUUGAUACAGGUGUAAUGUCAUUUAAGGAUAUUUGACUUUAGUGGGAGUUUGUAUUUUUAAAUUUUUUUAUGUUACAGACACAUCGGUUAUCUCAGUUUACGAAUAUUAAGUUUAUUUUCUUUAGAAAUAAAGUUUAUUUGGUAAAGUUUGACCUCACUAAGGUUAAGGAGGACCAUUUAGAAUAGGCAUGUUUGAAUCAUAUUGCAUGUAAUUUUCAUGUUACACAUCCAUACUUGAUCUAUGUCAUUUGGUUGUGCUAAUAUAUGUUAUUAGGGAUGGAUUUAGUUAUGAUAUAUGUAACAAAAGUCACAUUCGUUCUAUGUUAACUUAAUUAAUGAAUGAGAUUAUUUGGAAUACCUUUUGGAUAUGAUAGUAAAGUUUUGAGCUCAUAAAUUUAUAUAAUGACAUGUAAUUAUAAGGUAAUUGGUAUAUAUAUGUGGCCAAGUGGUAUGGACAUCACAUAUAUAAUAAGCCUAAUUACUCCAAAAUCCUUGCAGCCCUUUAAUGACUUUUAAGCAAUCAUAACCAUUUUAUUUACAGGUCAUUUGUAUGAAGGAACUUUGUGGUCAUGAUCGAGAGAUUCGAAUUUAGCAUAUUUACAGAGAAGGAAAUCUUGUUUCAGAUUUCUUGGCCCAUAUGGGAUUCCGGCUUUGAUCUAAGUUUACUACGAGAGCCACCUGGAAAUGCUCUCUCAAUUUCAACUAUACUAUGUGAUGAUAUUGCUAGUUCUUUGCCCUAUCGCCUGUGCUCAUUUGUGGUUAAUUAGUUUGUAAUAACCCAAAUUUGCCCAGGCUUACAACCCAAAAAUAAACAGAAAUAAAACCCAAAAAUAAAUAACAAGGCCCAAAUAAUAAUAGCCCACAAAACUUAAAAAAAAUCCAGCCAACUGAAACCCUAAUGCCCUCAUAUACGCCGCACCUCCUCCUCGGACACACUGCUCGUACCUCGUCCCAAGGUCUGACUCUUCCCAUAACAGCCCAAUUUUCAAUGAUAUCAGAAACAAUGAUUUUGGAUCACUAAAUCUGAUAAGUAAGCUUGAAAAUUUAAUAAUUAAUAAUUACGGGUCAAGUGUGAAUUUAGAAGAAUUUUUGAAUUAGUGAAUUUUGUUAUUUAAAAAGAAUUUAAUAGGUAAAUCGGGUCUAAAAUGAGGUAUCGAGACCUCGAAUCCAUAAGUCAACACAUAAAUAUUUUUAUAAAUAUUUAUGGAGUGCCAUUGAGUUAGUAUUAAAGUUUCAUCAGAAAAUUUUAACGUUUUGAUAGUCAAUUAAUUAAAAAGGACUAAAUAGAAAAGAUGCAAAACUUGCUAAAGUGAUUAAAUAGCCUAAAAAUUAAAUAAGGAAGGCCUAAAAGAUAAAAUGGACCAAUUUAAGUGGCUGAGGUGGCAUACGGUUAAAAAAAUUAAAGAUUUUUAUGUAUUUAAGGGCAAAAUUGGAAUUACAAUAAAGUUUAUGUGGCCAAAAUUUAUUUUAAGGAUUUCAAGACCAUUUCUUCUUGAAAUUUCGGUGUAAAACAGCCAUGGAAGAGGAUUGAGAGCUGAUAUUUUAUAUUUUAGCUUCAAGUUCAAUUCUUGUUUUUCCCUUGAAAUUUUUAUAUUUUUGGACUUUUACAAUUAGGUCCAACUUAGUAUUCUAUUAGUUUUUUAUUUUGUUGAAAGUUUUGGAAGAUACCAUUGAUAAGUUCAUAUGAUUUUUAUUAUUUGGUGAUGAAAUUGAGAUGUUAAUGGAUGUUUAAAGGUGUUUUAUUAAAUAAUUUUGGAUGAAAAUAUGUUUUAGGGAUUAAAUUGAAAAGUAUUGAAUUUGUGGAAAAUUCUAAAAUUUUAAGAAAUCCAUGGGCUUUCAUUGACAUGUAUGCGAAUGAUUAGGCUUGUAUCAAUGAUUAAAUUGAAAUAAUUUCAUUUUCCGAGCCUAGGGAUGAAAUCGUCAUGUAUUAAAAGUUUAGGGUCAAAAUGGUAAUCAAUAUAUUGCACUAAAAUAGUUUUGGGUAGUAGUAGUGUGCCAACUUUGAAAAAUCACCAAAAACUGUGGGAAUCGAAUUAGAAGAUGAGUAAAAGAUGAAAUUAAAGCUUAUUGUGUCUAGUUUCUCAUAGAAGAAACAGUGUAAGCAAUGGAAUUAUAAAUCAUGAGAUAUAAUAAAUUUUGUGAGACAGAGUCAGAAUAAUUUUGGAAUCCCCUGUUCUAAUUUUGGAAAAUCAUUAAAAAUUGUAUAAAAAUAAUUAUGAGUUAUAGUUUAUAUGUUUAAAAUCCUGAAAGAGUUUAUUUUCAAGAGAAACAAACAAGAACAUCACCCAAACUCUGUACAAUGAGAUAAUUACUUUUUGGUGAAGAGAGGUCAGAACUGUCAAACAGUGAAACAGGGGAGAAUUUAAAGAAUAAACUGUAUUUAUUGGCUAAGCCAAAAAUUCUAAAAAUUUUAUGGUAAAAUGAUAUAUGAGACUAGUUUCUGGAAAAAUUAACAAAUCUUAAUUUAGAGCUUCGUAGCUCGAGAUAUAAAUAAUUUAGUGACUCUGACUCGGAUAGACAACUUUGAAUUUAUGUAUAAGUAAAUCGUGAAAAUAUAGUUAAUGUUAUUUAAGCAUGUUAUAUACAUUAAGGAUGUGGAAUGGAGAGGAGGAGGAGGAAAAUUGGAAAAUAUAUGAAUGACUUGUGUAUGAAUUGGUCAUAUGCCUGAUUAUAAUCGAUAAACGUUGAAUUUGAAAUGAUAUAAUGUUUUAUUUCAAAUAGUUAUUAUGAAAUUAUGAUUAUCAUUAUGUUACAAAAUUUAAUUGUAAGUUCAUAUGGCAGAAUUUUAAUGAUUAAUUGUUAAUUUCAUAAUUAUAUAAUAUAUGAUGGGAUAUAAUUGUUGAUGAAUUGAGAAUAAAAUAACAAUGCGAAAAUCGAAUAAAUGAUCAAAUUUAGUGGAACGUCGGAUUUGAGUACUUCUGAUCAGUGACAAGUGAUAUAUGAUUUCCGUGUAAGACCAUAUUUGGGAUAUGGCAUCGUUGUGACAUGUGUUUCCGUGUAAGACCAUAGCUCGGCUAUGGCUUCGGUGUGUGAUAUGUAACGAUGUGCAAUACCAUAGCUAUACUAUGGCAAUGUGGAAACAAAGUACUCAAUUCCAUAAGACGUUCUCUAAUUUAUCAAAUUGUGGUAAGUGUUAAGCAAAUUUUAUGUGAUAAAACAUAUUGAACAGUGAAAUUGAGCUGAAUUAUGUGAUCUCAUCAUUCAGAGAUUGUGUUUGAUAGGUUAUGUUAAUAAAUUAUGUGUAUGUGAAUUUAAGUGACAGAAAUUAAACAGCUAAUGAUAUUGAGCUCAUUUACAUGAAUCUGUCAUUUGAAAUUGUGAUUGACAGAAAGAAAUAGUGAAUUGAAUAUGAAAAUGUGAAUAGAAAGCACAAACUAAAUGUUCUUGCGAUAAAUAAUGGCUCAAUGUGAUAGUAAAUGAUGUUAAUCUAAUGAAAGUUAAAUUGAAUUGUAAAUGACUUGAAUUAUCCGAAAAUGUUCUAUAAUCUCUGGUAAUGUCUCGGAACCCUAUUUCGGUGACAGAUACGGGUAAGGGGUGUUACACUUCCCCUGGCCACCUUGCCUAGCCUUGUAAAACAAAAUAGAAGAAGAAGAUAGAAGCGAAAAUAGCAGGGGAUAGCAGAAAAUAGUAGCAUAAUCGGCUGUAAAAGCCCCAAUGAAAUGUAAUUUAUUUUUUUUCUACGGAUAAUCAAAUAUUAAGAGAACAAAAUAUCAAUCGAAAAUCCUGAAGGUUUACUUCUACUGUUGUUUUAAGUUUUGGUUCAUUUUUAUUCUGCCUUUUAUUUUUCAUUUUUUUACAUACAAAGAAAGGAAAAAGAAACAGAAAUAAAAUACCAUAGUUUUAAAACAACAAAGGAAUUUCUUUGCAUAUUUAUCGAAAAUAGAGCAUAUAUACAUAGAUAUAUUCAAAAAAACACAAGUUUUUUUAACCUCUGUUGUGACUGAAGAAGGUGGAACCAAAUGGUUUUUUUUCGCCUUUUCUGAAUUUCAAAGGGGUUUCUUAGGAUUUUAACCUCGGAUUGAGAUUUGGGAGGCCGAAUAGGUCGAAAAGGGGCCUUUUUUUGAACUCCGGUCGACGUAUACGGCGGCAUACGGUGGUGGAUGACGGUGGACGGACGGUUGCCCAGUGACUAGGGUACAGCUAGACCACGACCGGAGGAAAAGGGAUUGAGAGAGAAUCCCCUGAUUUUUUUUGGAAAAAGAAGAAAAUGAAAUUUUUAAAAAAAAAUUGACUUAACUAGGGCCCCUAAACGGCGCCAUUUAGGGCUGGUCAUAAUAGCCCUAAAACGAUGUCGUUUUGCCCAAGACCCGCGCAUGUGACCCGACCCGCCAGAGGAUCCGCGUGUUUUUAACUUUUGGGCUAUUUGCGCUUUAGGCCCUUCAUCAUUUUUGGUCUAUUUCAAUUUAGUCCUUUUGCAUUUUUUCUUUAUUUUUUAAUUUAGACCACAGAUUUGUCUCGGUUUUCAAUUUGGUCCUCAAUUCGUUGGACCCCUGGGGAGGAGAUGCGUGGCCUGGAAAACUGGUUUAUUACCCAUUUGGCCCUCCUCCCUCUCGCGCUCUUUCAUUUUGGUCUUUCUUUAUUCAUUUUAUUAUAGCUUUGACCUUUAAAUUUCAUUUUUAUCCCGAGUUAGUCCAUCUUUGUUAUUUUUGUUAUAUUAUUAAUUAAUCUAAUUAUUAUCAUACUUAUAUUUUCUUUUUAUAUUUACUUAUUAUAUUAUUAUAUUAUACUAUUAGUUUUGUAUUAUUAUUAUUAUUAUAUUAUUAUUAUAUUUAUAUUUAUAUUUACUUAUCUAAAUUUUAAAUAUAUUUUGUCUUAGUAUAUAUUAUUAUGUAAUUACUUAUAUCUUUUGUAUUUUUUUAACUCUAGAUUAUUCGCUAUUCUAUUAUUAAUAUUAUUAUUGUUAUUAUUUACUUAUUUAUAUCCUUUUUAUUUCAAACUUUGUUAUAUAUAUACAUACAUACAUAUAUUAUUUUUUAUAUUUUUAUAAUCUUAUUUAUUUUCAUUAUUGUUAUUAUUGUUUUACUUGAUAUUUAUUUAUUUAUGUGUCCAUUAUUAUUUUAAGAAACAUUUUAGUUCUGUUUGUUUAUUUACUUGUUAUUUUAUGUAUAAUUGAUUUGUCCCCUUUUUUUAUUUAUUUAUCUUAUUUUCGUUGUUGUUGCUCGUAUUAUUUAUGCUUACAUCAUUGUAUUUAUUAUUGUUUUGUUACGCAUAUUAACCCCGUGUUUUAUUUCUACCAUUUCGUGUUAGAUUAAUCUCAUUUGAUGCAUAAAUCAUGACUUUAAAACAAGUAAAACUAGAUAUUUUGAGAUCCGAAAAGGUCGUGCCCUAACUUACGGGGCUUUGAUUUUCUCGAUAAAUUCAAAUACACGAAUCUUUUCAAACAUAAGUUUUUUAAGUGAUCUCGGGAAUUAAUAAAAGAUCGGGUUCUAACUUACGGGACUUGAUUUCUUUUCCAAACCCGAGAUAAUCAAAUCGAAUAUCCUUCAAAUAAAUAAAGCUUUUGGCAUUUAUUCUCGAAUCAAGUAUUUAAAUAUAUUGUGUCCUAACUUACGGGAUAUAAUUCUCUUUCUCGAUUAACGCGAAAUAUGCCCUUUUCUUGAAAACUUUCAGCAUUUUAACAAAGGAUUGUAUUUUGAAUCUUUUCAAAGUUUCCAAUUCUCGACACUAAGACACUAAUUAAUCAACCAGGUACCAAUUUCUAGGCGUUAUGAGGGUGCUAACCCUUCCUCGUAUGUAACCGACUCCCGAACCCAUCUUUCUGAAUUUCGUAGACCAAAAGCGUUGUUUUAAUAAAUCGAACCGUUUUGUUAAAAAUAACCAUUUUUUGAGUUGACCUGAUCACACCUCCUCAAAAAAGGAUUGGUGGCGACUCCCAUAUUCAUUUUCGUUUUAAAAAUCCAAGUCGACCUCUUUUAUCAAAAAAUGGUUUCGACAUAGUUGUUAAGGCUUUUGCCUCUUUCUUUUAUUAAAAAAAAAAGCUGGGCACGAUGAAUCGACCUUAGCUAGUAAAAAACUUCAAUCACCGAAUUGCAUAAAAUUCUAACUUAAAUUCAAAUGCAGAAGCAGGAUCGUUUAUCAAUCCACAAUAUCAACAAAUCUCAAUUCAAACACAAAAUUAACCGGUGAAAAAAAAUAGUUCAACCCAUAAACAUUUACCACAAAGGGAAAUUUGAAACACUUACCACCAUUCCCCUAUCAGAAAGUCUUACCCACAUUCAACAACUAGAAAUCAGAGCUCACCAAAAUGUUUAUGACGAAGCCAUUUUUUUGAAAAGGGUCGACUUUUUAUUUAAAAACGAAAAAGGGAGUCACCACUAAUCAUUUUUAUGAGGUGUGAUCGGGUCACCUCGUAACGGUUUAAUUGAUUAAAAUAAAAAUUUUGGUCUACAAAAUUUAGAAAAAUGGGUUCAGGAGUUGGUUACGUACGAGGAAGGAUUAGCACCCUCGUAACGCCCAAAAUUGGUACCUAAUUGAUUAAUUAAUGUCUUAAUGUUGAAAAUUAAAAACUUGAAAAGAAUUUAAAAUACGAUCCCUCUUUAUUAAUGUUAUUUUUUAGUUAAAAUUUCUUGGAUAAAUCAAAAUGUGUGCUUAAGACUUUCUCGUCCCAAAGUAGCAAAAAUAUUAUGUCCCGUAAGUUAGGACACAACACUUUGAACUUUGGAGAAUGAACUUGCCUUUAUUUUUUAUUUUAAAUCUUAUUAUUUUGAUUUUAAAAGGAUAUUCGGUUAUUUGAGUUCAACGAGAGAAUCGAAACCCCGUAAGUUAGGUACGAUUUCCUGAAUCUCCAAAAUAUGAAUUAUUGCCUAUUCUUUUGAAAAUUUUCCAUUUUUAUGAAAUUGGAUGAAAAUUAAUGAUAUUUAAAAUGAUAUGCAAUAUAAAAUAAAAUAUUAUAAUAACCAUGACGUAAUUACAAAGAUGAAUGCAAUAUUGUUUGGUGGAAAAUGUUUUCCGAAAAAUAUUUUCUGAAUUUUCCAGCGUUUGUUUGGUGGAAAAUGAAUUCCUAAAGUAAAACAUUUUCCAAACACGGGUAAAAUUAGUCCCCAAUUUUUGGAAAACGUCUUACUAAUUUGGAAUCAGUAAGAAAUUUUCCCGUUCUCCCUUCUCUACACUCUCGUUCUCCCUGCCUCUCUAAACCAAUCUUAGGGCUCAUUGAGCUGGUUCCGGGCUAUUUUUCCCCCUUGAUUUCUUCUCCUUUUUAUAAAUUAAUUUGGGGCUUUUCAUCACUGUGUGUUGUUUUUGUCUGGGAUCUCUUGCAUGGGUUUUCUGCUAGUUUGGGUUCUCUGUGCUCAGGCUUUCUACAAAUUCUGCUCUUCCUCUCUUGCUUGGGUCGGGUUUUUGUUACCGUUUUGUAGCCUGUGGCGUUUGGCUUGUCUUGGGCAAACUUUCUUCGCUGACUUUCUUUAGAAAGGUAUAUUUUCUAUUUUCACUUCCAUUUUCUACUUAUUUUUUAGACGCAAAAUUUCUUAGCAAUUCUUUUAUCUUGAACAAACAAUGUUUUGAGGUUUUGGGUCGUUUCAUAAAGUAGAAAAGGAAUCGAACUGUUAAUAUUCUUAAGAUUGAGAAAUUGAGGACACGUUUGGUUCGCUGUAAUGGAAUAGAGGCGUAAUAGUAAUUCAACUGUUUGGUCGAAUGGAAUGGAAUAGAGCUAUAAUAGUAUUCUUGUGUUUGGUUGAAUGGAAUUAUGUUGUAAUAGCAUAAGGAAAAAAACUAAAAUGAGUAUACCCUUAGCAGAAUUUUUUUAGGUAGAUGAUUAUUAUUAUUCUUAUUAAAUUUUAAUAAGAUUAUUAAUAUAAAUAAUAAAUAAUAUAAUCAUAUUUAACAUAAUUAUUAUUAAAUAUAAUUUAAUAAAAAAUAUAUAAUUUAAUAAAAUUCUUAAUAUAAUUAUUCUUAUAUUAAUUUCCUAAAAUCAUAAUAUAUAAUAAUCACUACACCAAAACAGGUUUUUAGCGGCGUUUGGAUAAAAAACGUCGCUAAAAAUUGAGCAUUAGCUGCGAUUUACGUCAAACGCAGCUAAAGAUCGAGCAUUAGUGGCGCUUCCAAGAAAGCGCCUCAAAAAAUGAGCAUUAGCGGCGUUUAUCCAAAAAACGCCGCAAAAAACGUAAACCCAACGGCAUCGUUUUUGACCUUUCGGGGCUUUAGCGGCGCUUUUUCAAAAGCGCCGCUAAUACUCGGGUCUUUAGCAGUGCUUUUCCCAAAAUGCCGCUAAUGCUCUAGUCUUUAGCGGCGCUUUUUCAGAAGUGCCGCUAAUGCUCGGGUCUUUAGCGGCGCUUUGUCAAAAAUGCCGCCAAAGCUCGGGUCUUUAGCAGCGCUUUUUCAAAAAUGCCGCUAAUGCUCGUGUCUUUAGCGGCGCUUAAUCCCAAAUUGAUCCUCCAUACCAAAAUGAGUGGAAAUGAGUUUAAAAGAUGUCCAAAACAUUAACAUUUAAACAUUUGUUAAGAAAUUUUCUUUUGUUUUCAAUAUAAAUGGCUUAAAAAAUGAAAAAAAAGUCUUAAACUUUGUUUGAUUAAAAAUUUUCGUAUAUAAAAAGGAACAUAUUUAAAUUUAUGUGGAUGGUUUUUAUUUAGUUUCAUUAAUAUAGGGAGAUUAAAGAUUGGUGGAGAUUUUACCUAACAAAUUAUUAUAGAAAGAGAGAAGAUGGAUUUAACACCUUUUGAGAAUCCAUUCCCCAAUGAGUUGUAUGGUGUAUCAAUUACGCAUGUAUGAAUAUAUUUUCCUUCCACCAUGUGCUGCCACGAAACUUAGGGCCAAUAUUGUGGAUUCCCGGAGAAUUAGAAGAUAAAAGAAAACCUAUAGGAGAUUCUUGUAAGAGUUACUGGUUUAAGAUUGGUUUUGGAUUUUGUAGGAAAGAUAUGCUGCAUCAAUUACACAUGGGGAUUUAAUACAAGUUGGAUCAUUUUCCUCAUCAGCUAACAUUUUCUUAUGCUAGUUUAGAUCCAAAUCCACACACCCAAUUUUGAUUUGCGCUUCCAUCAAACUAAUUCUUUUUACUGUGAAAAACAUAUUAUUUCAGUAAUAAAUGUUGAAUCAACAUUAUUUUAAUAAUAAAUUAUUUUAUUCCUUUUACUAUAGUAUUUUUUUCCCAUCAUGUUGAUUUAGGUAUAGUUUGGAUAGACAUUGCGUUUACUUGUGUUUAGUAUAAAAACAACAGUGACGAUAAAAUUAGAUAAAAGUGAACUAAUCGCACCGCACUGGCCAUCCAAAUCCAAGUACCAUACUCUUCUUUUAGUUUUUUUUAAACCCUAAAUAAGAAAGACAACCUCAUUUAGCGAAGUCAUUAACCCCUUUCUUAAAUUUCCAUAAUAAAACUCAUACCCUAUUCAAAAACCCUAUUUUAACAAAAUUCAACUAUCUUUGAAUUAUUCGUAACCCUAUAUUUAUAAUACAGACGUGGUGAUCAGUUAGACCUUUAAUUACUUAACAUACUUUUUUUUUAUUGACUAACAUCUCUUGUUUUUAUUGACUCCUUUAAUUUUAAUUUAAUAAUUUUAUAAUUUAAUCUAAAGAGGUCAAAUUCGAAUUAUUUUUUUGAUAUAAUUUUUAAUUUAACAAGAGCUGAAUCAUACUUUAUAGGAUUUGAACCUUGGACGAUAGGUUUGAAGACCCACAUGCUACCGAACUAAACUAAUAUCACUUUCUUAUCAUAAUAAAUAAAAUUGUAAAAAAAAUCCUUUUAUUUUAUAACCCUAAUACAAUACAUUGUAUGUCGUAUAUAUAUAAUAUGAGAAAAUGAUAGAUUGAGCAAAAUUGCAUCAUAGGUUGUGUUCAAAAUUCAAAUUCUUUUUGGUUUAGAGGGUUUUAUGUUUGGUUAGUGAUAAGUUUUUUUUCUUUCGCAUGUGAUUUAUCUUUUCGAUAUGUAGGGUGAAGGAUUUAAAUUGUGGAAUGUUUGGUUUAUAUAAGCAGCUUAAGGUAAGAAAAGAAAAGCAAGAUAAAAUUUGAAAGAUGAUCCCAUUGUUGACUGAUUCAUUUACUGCGAGCUUCUCCCUCAUAUUGUAGCGACACUGAUGUACAAAAUAUUUCAAAGAUGUACAAAUUUUUCGAGUUUAAAAACUACAUUGAGUGUAUUUUCGUAGGAGUUCAGUUGAUUUAAAAACUACAUUAAAUGGUUUAGGAUUUAAGGUUUACUUCAGAUUUGUUAAAUGAUGAAAUUUUAUACAAUAAAUUAAUACUUUUAUAUUUAAAAAUAUUUAAUCUAAAAUAUUCGAUAUAUUUAAAUAUUAGAUUUAAAAAAAUUGAUAAAUAAAUAAAGUCACUUAACUAAUAAUUUUUGGUAGAUAAAAUAAAAAAUUUUUAACAGAGCAAAACGACGUUAUUUUAUCAAUAGAUAAGCAAUAAUGGCGUUUUUUGUAAAAACGCCACAAAAUUUAUUUUACUUAGAAAAAAAUUUGGCGCUGAUUUUUCCCAAAUUUUCCCCCUAAAACCCCUAACUUUGCAAACAAAAUGAAAAAAAGAAGAGGAAAAUGAAGGUACCAAAGACGAUUCAGCACAAAACCUCUCCAAUCUACUUACGAGUUCUACCGUUUGUUUCCCUGGAAAAUAUAUGAGACUUAAUAUUUUCUGUUCCAUUUUUCCUCUUUAUUUUCUAAUUUUGGGUAUUAUUUACUCAGAUCCCCUUUCUUUUUAUUAUUGUUUUUUUUUUCUCUUAUAUUUUAGCUAGAAAUCGACGAUGCAAGUUACUGCUGGUAACAAGUUAUUGCUUAAAAUUCAUCGUAACAAAUCUACUUCAAAGGAAGUUAUUCAUAUUCCUUCGUAUCGAAGCGAAGUUAUUUACGGUGGAACUUGGUUCUCCAGCUCUCGUAAGUUUGUUCCCAGUUUUGUAUUUGCCAUCUAUACCAGGUUUACCUCUCUUACUUCUCUUCGUCUUCAUCUCCCUUUCAUUUAUUCUACCAAAAACGCCUCUUACUUGUCAUUUUUUUCUCACAUAUCGUGCAAGACUCAUUUUUCUUUCUUUAUGCUCUAGUCUUAACAGUGCACUUCAACUGUUCAAUAUAAUGCUUCUUUAUACAAUUUGUUUCUGGUUUUCAGGGGGUGUUGUUUGUAAGAUGUUGAAGCAAGCGAUAUGGAAGGUGUUGAGCAAAAGGGUAGUUUCAGAUUCUGGUGAUAAACUUCUUUUGCCUUGUUUGUACUUGCCCACGACUUCUUUUCACGCUGGACAGGUAGGUACUCUUUUUUUUUCUUUUAACUCUUACUUUAGUUUUUUUUAUGGAUACCCAAUUGUUAAUUUAUUAAAUAAUAAAUCUUUAAUAAUAAACCUAAAUUUAUGGCAUUUGAAUUAUUUGUAGAAUUUGAAUCAUAAAAACAUUGUCAAGUAUCUUGGAUCAUUGAAGACAACAAGAAGUUAGGUUUUGUAGUCUCUGUCUGGAAUUCUUGCUCUGAAGUUUGUCUAUUUUAUACGAGUUGAGUUUUCAUGGUUUGCUGUUGCAUUGUUUCUUCUGUUCUUUGUUUUGUUAUUGGAACUAUUUCCAAUUGUCUGGUUUACUUGAAAUCCGAUAUUUGAUUAAAGGGACCAAGUAGAGAGCACAAGUGAGAGCGAAGGCAGUGCAAGUGAUGAAGUGCUUGUUGUUCCUUAUGAUAACUUAGCACCUAUUUCUUGUGGUAAUAUUUUCUCAUUAUUCUUCUACUUUUGAAUUUAUUGUAUUCCAAAUAUAGCAUCAAGAAAAAUAUAAUAGUACAUUAGAGUUCAGCUUGUAUAAUUUGUUUGGAUUCUUUCUGUCUUGAAGCAGAUAUUACUGAAUCUAAGCAGCUUUUAGAUAAGCUUGUUGUGGUGAAGUAUAAUAGAGCUUUGGGAAAGAAUAUGGGUUUCGUUGGUCCCAAGUAAGCAAUUAUCUAACUUCUGGAAGUUUGAUACUUAUUUUUUUCCAAGAAAAGAGAAGCAUUUCUUGAUGAUUCCAUAGUUAUAUAUUAAAGACUUGCCUCUACAUAAAUGAAUAUAGUUUCUAUGACAUACAUAUAUUUAUGUAUGCUUUUUAUAUAUGCCUCUACAUUCAUAUAUUUAUAUAUGCUUUUUAUAUUGUAUUGUGCCAAAUAAAGAGAAUAAAAGUUUUAAUUAUUGAUAGAUUCUGCUACUUUUUUUAUGUACUUUUUAUUAAAUCACUCUUUAAUCAAAUGUAGAAUUAUAAAAUUAUUAAAUUUUACUAUAAAUAAUUAUCCUUAUAUAAUUAAUUAUUUUAGUAAAUUUUCCAACUAUCAAAACAGAUCACUCCACCAUCCCACGUCAAAAUUUUGUUAAGGGUAGGAGUUGAGAGAGGUAGAUACUUUGAUGAAUAUUUUCUUUUACAUGAUAAUUAUAUACUUCUUUAAGUUUGUUUUGGAUGUUGGGACAAUGUCAGUUGAUGCCGAAAUUUGAUAGUGCUGCAAAUUGAAGUGUUUAAGUGCUGCAAAUUGAAGUAUUUAGUUGCUGCAAAUUGAGAUGUUUUAUCGCUGUAAUUGAGGUGUAUAAAUGUUGUUAAUUGAUAUGUUUAAGUGCUGCAAAUUGAAGUGUUUAAAUGCUGUAAAUUGAAGUGUUUAAGUGCUGCAAAUUGAAGUGUUUAGUUGCUGGAAAUUGAGAUGUUUUAUUGCUGUAAUUGAGGUGUAUAAAUGUUGUUAAUUGAUAUGUUUAAGUGCUGCAAAUUUAAGUGUUUAAAUGCUGUAAAUUGAAGUGUUUAAGUGCUGCAAAUUGAAGUGUUUAAAUGCUGUAAAUUGAAGUCUUUAAGUGCUGCAAAUUGAAGUAUUUAGUUGCUGGAAAUUGAGAUGUUUUAUCGCUGUAAUUGAGGUGUAUAAAUGUUGUUAAUUGAUAUGUUUAAGUGCUGCAAAUUGAAGUGUUUAAGUGCUGCAAAUUGAAGUGUUUAGUUGCUGCAAAUUGAGAUGUUUAACGCUGUAAAUUGAAGUGUUAAAGUGCUACUUUCCAUUGUCACCUCCCCCAUUUCUUUAUGCAUCAAUAACUAUAUUAAUGAAAUCAAGUACUACAAUUAUAUACUAUUGCAGAUGGGGGUUGGAGAAUAUGAUCAAGGGGAAAACAUCAGAUAUGGUGAUUCCUAGCCAAGCAGUGGCUUCUUAGACACCCAACAUUUUGCACAACCAAACAUGACCACAACUUUUAAACCUACAUGUUGAGGUUGCUACACACAAGUCCCUUCCUUUUUUUAGUUUAUGUGCUAUGUGAUGAUUGUGUUUUAAAAUUUAACUUGUUUUAGUUCCUUACAUUCUUAUACGAUUCACACUCAAGGAGCUAGAUUUGGAGCUUAAACUGUCACUGUAAUCAGUAAUUUUUUUUUUGCUUCUUUAAAUGCAUGCUCAUGGAACUACAUCUUAUGCUUUCCUAGAAUUGUAAGUUCAAAUAAGGUGUUGAUCUGCAAUUUAUACAUACAACUUGAGCAAGUUGAUAUGAACUAGUUUCAAUUUUUUUUUUUAAAUGAAAGGAAUGUUAUGUAAUCAAAGGCAAUUUGACUUGUUGCAUGAGAUAUAGUGAAAAACAUUUAUCUUCUUAUUCAUGAAUUUCCAUUUUAAUACGUCUUCAAAUUAAAUUAUACAUUUUUUAAUUGGUAGAAUCUCACUUUUGCUGUUGCUGCAAUCUUUAACCAAAGAAUGGAGUGAUGUAUGUACUGAUAACAGUUCUAAAGGAUUUGUUUAAGCAAGUAAAGAGAUUGGCGUUUUUAUAAUAAUUUAGGAUAGGAAUGGAGCAAAUCCAAAGAAUGGAGUGGCAUUUUUAUAAUAAAUUUUUUUAUUUUUCGUGACCUUUACUAGCGUUUUUGGAGAAAGCGCCGCUAAAGGUCUUGUUUUUUAGCGGCAUUUUUGGGAAAAGUGCCGCUAAAGGUCUUAGUCUUUAGCGGUGUUUGUGGUAAAAGCGCCACUAAAGGUCUUGGUCUUUAGUAGUUUUUGUGGGAAAAGUGUCGCUAAAGGUCCUGGUUUUUAGCGGCGUUUGUGGGAAAAGCGUCGCUAAAGGUCUUGGUCUUUAGUGGCGUUUGGGGGAAAAGCGCUGCUAAAGGUCUUAGUCUUUAGCGGUGUUUGUGGGAAAAGCGCCGCUAAAGGUCUUGGUCUUUAGCGGCGUUUGGGGGAAAGCACCGCUAAAGGUCCUGGUUUUGAGCGGCGUUUGUGGGAGAAGUGCCGCUAAAGGUCAUGGUCUUUAGCUGCGUUUUUUCCGGCUAAAAAAGUGCCGCUAAAAGCCUGUUUUGGUGUAGUGAAUAUAAAAAUAAUAUAUAAUCUCAUUUAUUAUUUUUAAAUCGCAAUACAUAUUUAAUGUGCUAAAAUAUCAUUAGUGAAUCAAAUAAUUUAAUUAUUCUACAAAAAAAUAGAAGUAAUAAAUAACUUGAAAAUUAUAUUUUGCAUAAAUAUAAUAUUCAAAUAUUAACAAACAUACCCUAAAUCAAAUUUCAUGUAUAAUUUUAAAAUUUACCCCAAAGAUUUAGUGUACUUCUUGACCUGAACUUGACAAUUAAGUUUAUUUUAGUACUUGUAUAUUUUUUGUCCACUUUAAUAAUUGAACUUGACAAUUAGAUAUAUUUUAAUCUUUGAACUUGAAAUAUAUAAAAUUUUAUUGACAUAACACUUUAAGAUUGUCUCACAUCAUUAAAUUUGGACGGAAUAUAAAUUCAUAGUCAAAAUAGACCUACUUGUAAAGUUAGAUACUAAAGUAGACCCCAACAACAUAUAUAAGUAUCAAAAUGAAACUAGCUUACAAAGCAAAACUUCGUAUAAAAGAAGAUAAACAAAUUGUGCUACUUGAAGGGAACAACACUGGCACUGGAAAAACAUUCCGUGUUUGAGGACAUAAAAUCUCUUAAGCACUGCGUCCAGGUUAUGAGCUACUCACAGCAACACAGAUCGCUGGGAAAUAGUGUGCCAAAUUACCUUUUGUAUCUCUUCUUGGAACCACAUGGACAGGGAGCAUUACGGCUCAUUUCUCCACUCUUUACCAUAUUAAACUUGGUAAGAUCCAAUGGUGUUAAACCCGUUAGCUUUUGCACCUGCAAAAGAUAAAAAAAAACUAAUGACAUUUCCAAUGGAGAAAGAGAGAGAUGCAUAAACUAAUACUUGUCAUUGAUGUUUUAAACUGUGGGAGAAACAUUCAUCCGAACUCAAAUGCGAAUUUCAGCAACUGAAGAUGAAUGAAGGCAGACAUCUCAGUCUUUUAAGCAAUCUGGCAUUGAACCAAAAAAGCAUAACGCAGAUCAGCAGACCAAACAUCUGUAACUCUAUGUUAGUUCGACUCUUUCUUUUCCUUUAUGCAUCCAUGUUUGAUGCAAGUCUGGGACCAGAAUGAAUAUAGGGAGAUAAUCCUUUAAAAAUCCUCCAAAUACAUUAAAAAACUUGGACAAAAAAUGAACACAACACACCCGUGUCAAACAUAUAUAUCAGACACUCAAACUAUAGUCUGAACAACAAGAUAUACAAUCAUCAUUUUGACUCAGAUAAUAUGCAUAACUAACUCCCCUACCUUCUUAGACAAAUAUCUUACUUAUCUUUCAAAUAGCUCAUCCUACAUUCAACAUCAUAUUCACCGAGCAGCAGCCAAAAGACAAAAAUACAUUAACUUAGAGAAUUUAAGAUCAGACAAAUUGAGCAAUAGGCAUAAAGACACUAGCUCAUACGUUUUAAUCAUUCAACAUAUUAUCAGCAAAAACAUAACUGAAAAAAACCAGUGGUGAACCUACCACAGCAAAGUUCUUUGGCAUCGGUUUGCCUUCCUCUUUCAGCUUAACCAUCUUCUUAUGAACUUCUUUAGCCCAUGUGAACUUCGCAAGCGCAUUCUCAACAUAUAAUAAGGUACAAUCACACUGUUUUGCAGCUUCUUUCUUUUGACUCAGUUGGAGAUUCUAAAAAAAAAGUCAAAAUCUAAAUCCACAAUCAGCGAAUUCACCUACAGGGCUCCAACCAUGUUUUAUAGUUUGGACGAGAAAAGGCAGCACCUUCUUACAUGCAAUGUCAGUGGUCAACAGGACUGGAAUGCUCGCCUGUUUAUCAUGGUGGAAAUCAAAUUCUUAUAUAAAACAUAGUUAACAUUUCUCAGCAUAAAGCCUUCAUCUUUUGUGCAAACAAAUUUUAAAUUAACAGAACUCAACUAGUCGAAAUCACAAGCCAUUCAAAAAACAAUAGAAUCAGACAAACAUGUAAUAGAAUAAAAAUUUUCAUCUGUUCAAUCUGUUCAAUCGAACAAACAUUGAAAACAUUGAAAGAAUUUUCAUCUGUUCAAUCGAACAUGCAAUACAAAGAAAAGCUGAAUGGAAAACGCUAGAAACGAAUCAAAAUUAGGAGAACAAAAACAAAUAUUCCAGAUUUGAGCAAAAGCAAAACUAAAUCGAUUUUACAGAAAAGAGAAGAAAAGAAAAACAGGGAAAGAGUGUGAGAAUUUUUCGUUGUUGAUAAAAUGGAGAAAAGAAAAAAAACGAGAGAAGAAAAGAAAUGUACGAGAAUAAAAGAAGCAGAAAUCGAUGGAAGGGAAAAAAUUACCUUGCAAAACGUCGGAGAGGAUGAGCGCAGAAAACGAAAAAGAUGGUAACAAAUUGGGAGGGAAUCCCUAUUCCGCGCUUAAACAUCAGAAUGGCUAUUACAGCCAACGUGGGUAAUAGAUGCGGAACGGAACCAAACAUCCGUUUGGUGGUGGGCCUAGGGAAUUGGGGGGAAUGCAUACCGAUUCCCCCCAACCAAACAUACCUUGAGUUUGUUCUCUUAAGAGGAAAUGGUAAUGAGGUGUAAAAGCCAAGAGGAAAUGAUUAUCUUUACCGCUAGAAAUGAACAAGGUAUGUUAUUCAUAUUUUUCUCCGGAUGCAGGUUUUAAUUGGGCAAUAGUUUUACUUUUGUUAUAGCUAGAGGUUUUACUUGUCAUGCAUCUUACUGCAUUUGGUUAGUUUUAUGUUUUAUUGUUUUAUCUUUCUGGCAUUUUAUAUUUAGUUCUCCUAUUUUUUUAGACAAUUUCUGCAACAUUGGUUUCCUAUGACGUGAUAGUAUUUUUUUGUUGUAGUAGUGAUAACAUUUGUGGUUGGCAAGAUUCCUUUAACACGGUUUAUCUGGAAAGGUCUAUCUUUGGGUUGCUGAUAGUGUCACCGAGUGAAAUAAAUGCUAGUUGUGGCUCUUAUGAUUACAAACUAUUAGCUUAUUGGUAAAUUGAAUGUUCAGAUGUCAUGACUGAUGUAAAUUCACAUACUUUUAAACAUUGUGCAUCUUCUAAUUUUAUGAAUUUUAACAACAAAAAGUUUUCUAUACAUAAUGAUUAUUUGAUUACUGUAUGUUUGAUCUUGGAUUUCUGUUGCUAAACAUGAAUUGGAAUAAAAUGAAUGCUAGUUGUUCAUUUGAAUAACAAGAAUGAAAUAAAUGCUAGUCAAGGCCUCUAAAAGACUAAUUUAGUAAUUUGGCUGAAUUGAACCCUUAUAUCAUUAGGGAAUAUAACAGAAGAACUACUAAUAGUUUGAAUAGAACAUAAUGAACUGAUUAAUAAUACAUUUAAGAGGUAUGUUAGUAGCUGCUAGUCUCUAGUUCCUUGAGAGUUUGGUUGUUCAGAGUGUCGUCUAGGAUUGUAUUCUGUGCUGUCCAUGCAAGUGUAAUAAGAUUGACUAAGGUCUUUUCCCUUUGAAAUUGUUGAUCACUCAAUUAAGCUCAGUUGACCGGCUAUCAUGUCCUUGCUCAAUUAAGCUCUGCCAUAACUGCACGAAAGAACAACAAUUCCAUACACUCAUUACAAAGAAUACAAGUAGUGGAGUUCACGGACUAGACAAUUAAAGAGAACUUUACACAUGUAACCAAAUUCACCAAUAUGAGCAUUGAUAUCUCAUUUUUAUGAGAUCUUAUUAGAUUAUUGAUUAUGAAUAUGUUUACUCGAUCAUUUCAAGAUCAUGGUUUCAUUACAUGGAGUUGUUUGAUGGUGAAGGCAAUAAUACAUUUUUAAGAUUACUGCAGCCAAAAGAGUUGUUGCAAAGGAGACCAAAGUCCAGAACUCUUUUUCUUUUGUGCUUCCACAACUGAGUUCUCCAUUACCUCAACUUUCAGCUUCAAAUCUUGAGCUACUUGUCUCUUUCUGUCAUUGAUUGUUACUUUUAUGUGGUCUAAUAUUAGUUAUGCACUUGGACAAUGUUGUUGUUAUUAUGUGGUGUACUACUAAUUAUGCAUUUGGAUAAUAUUAUUAAUUUCUAGUAUUAAUUGUGGUUUGGAAGCUAAUUUAUAAUUAUUCAAUCCUUAUUUUUUAUUUUUUAACACAAUUAUAAAUAAUUUAUUUGACUUUGGUUGUUUUCAAUUUAUGACGGUUAAUAUUGUAGCUUAAUAAUUGAGUAUUUUGAUUUAUUUAUUUAUAAAUAAAUCAUUUCAAUAUAUGUAAAAAUAAUUUAAAAUAUAAAAAUUUAUUAAUAUGUAUAUAAAUUUAUUAAUAUAUGUAAAAACAACUUUUUCGGAAAAUAUUUUCAGGAAAUCUACCAAACAACAAAAAAUAUUUUACACAGAUUCAUCCAAACACUAGAAAAUAUUUUCAGUAAAUCAUUUUCCAGAAAAGUAAAUCAUUUUCAGGAAAUCAUUUUUCGAAAAACAUUUUACUGGCAAACAAACGAACCCUUAUUGCUCAUGGUCAUCAACCUAUAAACCCAAGAGCAUUAUUAGCUUCUAAAUCCAAAACACUAAUAUCAGCAUCCAACCCAACAAUGAUAGUCUUAUUGACUCAUUUAAACAAGUUUCCUUUGUCAAUCUAUAUUCUGUAUUUGGUAAUCUCCAAUAUGAUUUCAGAACAUACGAUAGUUGGAAGAAGAAUAGCAGCAAAGAUGCAAAGGGAAAUGACUUAUACGAGGAGGAAGAACCAUCUUUUGGGUGCAAACCUGUAUACCAUAUAAUAGGAUGUCCUGUAUAAUGUCACGAGAGCUAGUACCGUUGCCAAGCAGUAAUUACUAAUGCUAAUAUGAUGAACAGAAAAGGAUCCAGCCGUAAGAUAGUAUGGAUACUGAAAUGCGAGUGUCCGUAUGGAAACAGCAACUAAAAGCAUGUAACAGGUCCCAAAACAGGUCCCAAACAAGGAAAGUGUUAUGAGAAUCACUACACCAAAAUAGGCUUUUAGCGGCGCUUUUUUAGGCCUUUAGCAGCGCUUUUUAGCGCCACUAGCGCCGCUAAAAACGCCGCUAAUGACAGUGUCGCUAACUUUAGCGGCGCUUUUUCCACAAACGCCACUAAAGACCAAGACCUUUAGCGGCGCUUUUACCACAAACAUCACUAAAGACCAAGACCUUUAGCGACGCUUUUCCCACAAACGCCGCUAAAAACCAUGACCUUUAGUGGCACUUUUACCACAAACGCCGCUAAAGACCAUAGCUUUUAGCGGCGCUUUUCAAACAAACGCCACUAAAAAUAUAUCUUUUAAAAAAAUUAAUUUUUUUCAAAUAAUAUUUAUUUCUAUAAUAAAUAUUAUAUUAUGUUUUAAGGAUAAAUAAAAAAUAUUAUUUAAAUUAAAUUUUCUACAAAAAUUUUAACUUUAAAACUAAAUAUAAAUAUAAAAAUUAAUGAAUUUAAAUUUAGAAUUUAAAAUAAUAAAUUAAUAACACAAUUAAAAUCCAAAAGUUAGAACACUUAAGUAAAAAUAAAAAUUUAGAAUCAAAACUAAAAUAAAUGAUACAUAUGCAAGGUAAUAAAAUAUACAAUGCAUUUUCUUAAUCAAGUAAAUCUUGGUUACAAAACUAACACAGAAAAUAACACAGUAUACAGUAUGUUUUGUCUUUCACAUUUUAAAAAUAAUAAUAAUAGCAUGUUUGUUUGCAUGCUACCAUGAUCAAAACACAAAAAUGAAGUUCUCCACCUAAUACAAAUUUCUCCUACGAAUGUGCAGAAUCAGAUCUCUAGAUUCUCGGAGUUCUUCAUCUGGUGCUGUCUCGAUGGUUUUGAUUAUUGUGUCAUCUAGCUGGAUUCAAAAAAAAGAAUAGAAUGCAAAGCAUGUUAUACAUUUGGACUCCAAAUUUUUAGCAACUCAAAAGAAUGCUAAGAAUGUUGUCCAACCUUCCAGUACUCACAAGGAUCUUGAAUAAAAAUGAAAUCAGACCUCACCACUUCAUAUAAGAAGCCUACACAACUAAUUACACAAAAGAAAAAGAUGAGAAAAAAUAACAAUGUAAAAAAGACGUUUGAAUGAGAUAAUAUAGAACCCAGAGUUAACUCUGUGAAUACCUUCACUUUAGAGUGGGUGUACACAGUUCGAUAAAGAUCAGCACGAGUAGCAAAUAACUUGUGGAUACUAAGAUCUAGCAAGAGCACCCAUUACCAUUAUUAAGGAGUAAAAAAACACUAAAAGAACUAAACAUGUAUUUUGCAAGUAAAUGAAUUAGAUGAUACUAACAGUCUUUAGCACGAUAGCAGAUCUCAUCACCCAAAACUCGCAGUCUCCAUGAACCUGCAGGUGGUGUAGUAUGUAUAUUAAGUUUCACUUACUUAUCCACAUCAAUUCCAUUCUAACCAUUUGCAACAAUAUCAUAUAAGAAUUGCUUCUCCUUUGCACUCUUCAAAGUAAGCACAAAAUAGUGUAUGUGUUAGAUAAAGAAAAGAAACAAAGAAUGUUUGUACUUCAUACUGGAGCAAAAUAUAAAAAAUCCAGUGAUCAACAUGUGCCUACACUUAAAAUAUAAAAAAUCUAGUGAUCUACCGAAAUUAAACUAUUCAUCAAAAUGAUUGCAAUUAACUGAGUUAAAACAUGAUUUUUUUUCUUUUCUUGCAAAUAUCUAAAGUUUUUUAUACCUUCCCAAAUGGUGAAACAAGCUGGUGAAGUGCUGUAAUUCUGUCUCCUAAUUUUUCUUUCCUCACCUGCCAUAUAACAUAUAUAUGUAUAUAUACAAGUCAGAAAAAAAGAAAAAGUAGGUGAUUAAUUUACUAUUUUACUUUCACUUAAACUAUAUUCUCUUUUUCAUACAUUAAUAGAAUAUGAUAGUUACAGCAAAAAAAAAAGAAAAAGAAUCAUCCCUCUAGAAAUCGACAACCAAACAAGGACAACAGUUUUUACCACCCCACAUGUAUUUUGUGUAUGUGUAUAUAUAUAUAUGCUUGUGAGUGUGCGUGUGCGUGUGCGUGUGCGUGCAAUCUGUAUUGAGAUAAAAAAAAACAUAUAUUUAAUUAUAUAAAAAUUAUGAUAAAAGUAUCAUGGAAGUCCCUGUACUAAAAGGUGGAUUACAUUUUGCCCUUUUACUCAAAUGGUUUAAUUUAAACACUCAUUCAACAGCUAUUACCUAAAAUGCUACCACUUUUGAGGUAUAAAAUCAGUGGAAGUCUAAAUGAACAAAGUCCUAAGCCAAUCAAAACAAAGUCACCAAGAAAUGAAAAAACAAUCUGUUCUUAUCCUUUCGAAACAGUGACCAAAUACAAUGAAUUCAAAAGGUUGUCCUUUUCAUAUCUGCUUAUCAACCAAAUACGCAAUGAGAAAAAAAAAUCAUGAUCCGCCAGCAGAAAAGCUUGAAAUUUGAAUGGAUCAAAUGAAACAUAAAUCUAAUGUAAAACACACCUGGAGAAAGCUUAAAAGAAGAGCUUUGAUGAGAUUUUCUGGUGUGAGCUCUGGCUGACGCUGCUGAUAUCUUCCUUCUAACUUCCCCAUUAUCGUCCCUCAAAACCCAAUAAUCUGUAAAACGAAGACUCCCCCAAAUUACUUCAGAUGUCUCUCUUAAAUUCUAUUUAAAAAAAUUAAAAAUCUAUAAAAAAAAUCAGUUACUAUAAAAAAAAGAGAUAAGUGUGAAUUAAAAAUAUAAUCCCAAAUACUGAUUCAAUUGCAGACUGGGAUUUAUUUCUUACCUCAAAGGUACAGCAAUGGUUGUAACCUCUGUAACCUGUUUGUGAAACCUCUGUAACCUGUUUUACUAGUAAAGCCGAUAAUAAUCCAGAAACUGGUUGUAACCUCUUUGUAUUUGCCUGGGAAACCAGAAAUCUUCUCAUUAUCAGCAUAUGUUGAUUUUUUUUAUAAUGUCGCAGGGAGGGAGGGAGGGACAGAAAGCAAGAGAGACGGCGAAGAGUUUUAGGAGGGAAAAUUAGGGGUUUCGGGGAAAUUUGGGGCUAAAAUGGGGGGAGAAUUUUUAAAAGUGAAAUUAGGGUUUUUAGAGGGAAAUUUUGGGAUAAAACGGCGCCAAGUGAAAUUAUUUUUGCGACGUUUUAAAAAAAAAGCCGGGAAUGUACCUUUUGUGGAUUUUUUUUGAAAACGUCACUAACAAAUUUAAAUUCUUUUAUUGAAAUGACGUCGUUUUGAGAAAUAUUAAUACAUAGUAACGGCGUUUUUUGCUAAAAACGCCGCUAAAGCUCUCAUAUUUUUUAUAUUCAAUUAUUGUAUCUUUCAUAUAAAUUAUACAUAAAAGAAUUAUUAAAAUUUUAAGUAAUAUUUAAAAGAAUUAAAUAAUAUUAUAAAUUUAGUUUUCUUAUUUCAUUUUUAUUUUUGUAUUUUUUUCUUAUAAUUUGGUCCUAUCUAAAUUAAAUAAUUACCUAUAUAUCCAUAUCAAAUAUAUCAAAUGGUUUAAAUUAAAUAUUUUUAAAUAUAAAAGCAGUAAUUAAUUGUAUAAAAUUGUAUCAUUUAACAAAUCUCAAAUAAACCUUAAACCCUAAAUUAACCAUUCAAUAUACAUAAAGUCUAUCUAUUAUAUAUCUCUUACAUAAUAUAAACUAUACUCAUAAUUUCAAUAUAUUAAAUUUAUUAUUAUCUCUUUUACAAUUAUAUAAGAACAUAUUUAAUAUAUAAAUUAAAAAAUCAAUUAAUCUAAACCCUAAACCUUAACCCGACCCUUGAAACCCUAAAUCCCUAACUCCUAACCCCUAACUCUUAACCCCUAAACCUUAAAUCCCAACCCUUAAACCAUAAUCCCUAAAUCUAUAUAUAAUCCCCGAACCUUAAAAUAGUAACUCCUAAACUGGCUUUAAAUAUUAAAUUAACCAUAUACCGUAAACCAUAUAAACCCUAAACUAUAAUGAUAAUUAAUUAAAUAUUUUAAAAUUAAUACUAUCUUAUCUUUUUCAAUUAUAUAUGAAAUUAUUUAAUAUAUAAAUUAAAAAACAUCAAUAAAAUAUAAAUUAAAAUGCUUUUUUUUGGAUAAUUUAAUGAAUAUGGCAGGAUUAACUCUAAACCCCUAACCCCUAAAUUCUAAACUUAGCCCUAAACCUUAAACCCCAACCCUUAAACCAUAAACCAUAAACAAUAAUCCCUAAACUAUAAUGAUAAUUAAUUCAAUAUUUUAAAAUUAAUACUAUCUCUUUUACGAUUAUAUAAGAUAUUUUUAAUAUAUAAAUAUCAAACACGUCAUAGACACUUAAAACUUUGAGAUAGUUAUACUAUUUUUUAUUUCACUUAUAGGAACCUCAUACACUCAAGCACUGCAAGUCUUUUGUGAAUUAACCAAUGGUUAUGAAGAUCUACUACUUACGGUUAUCAAUGCCAGCUGGAAUCACAAAUAUUAACAAGAAUCAGACAUAGAUAGCAAAAUUAAUCAAGCACUUUCAAGGGACAUUCUAGCAGUUCUUUAAAGAAAUGGAUUUCAAUCCAAAAUUCAACAGUUCUGUAACUAGCCUAGCAGACAGAUGGAAAAAUAAUAUUUAUUUUAGAGAUCAGUCUACCUCUUAAGUGGAAUAACUUUCUAUAAACUUUAACCUUGUGAACUUUUUUAUUAAUAUAUUUCUUCUAAUACUUCUUAGAGAUAAUCACAGUCAAGAGAUUCAACCAUUAAGAUUCAAUGGAUGGUUAAUAUAAGACCAAACAAAGACAAUGCAUCUAAUUUAAUAAGCUCAGCAGUGCUCACGAAUAAAGCAAAACAGUGUAUAAGAAAUUAUUUAGUAUGUAAAUUAAAAAACACUCAGUAAUGUACCCAAAAAACUUAAAAACUAUUUUAAAUAAUAGUAUUUUAAAUCAUGUACCCAAAAAACUUAAAAAUAUUUUUUGCGGCGCUUUUUAAAAAACGCCGCUAAAAAUAGAGCAUUAGCGGCGCUUUAUCAAAAACGCCGCUAAAGACCAGAGCAUUAGCGGCGCUUCUUCAAAAAUGCCGCUAAAGACCCGAGCAUUAGCGGCGCUUCUCCAAAAACGCCGCUAAAGACCCGAGCAUUAGUGGCGCUUAUUCAAAAACGCCGCUAAAGACUCGAGCAUUAGCGACACUUCUUCAAAAACGCCGCUAAAGACCCGAGCAUUAGCGGCACUUCUUCAAAAAUGCCGCUAAAGACCCGAGCAUUAGCAGCGCUUUUCGAAAAAUGCCGCUAAAGCCCUGAAAAAUCAAAAAACGAUGUCGUUGUGCUUGGGUUUUUUGCGACGCUUUUUGAAAAAUGCCACUAAUGUUCAUUUUUAGCGGCGUUUUCCAAAAAACGCCGCUAAUACUGGAUCUUUAGCGGCGUUUUUCCUAAAGCGCCGCUAAUGCUUGAUUUUUAGCGGCGUUUUUUGUUCAAACGCCACUAAAAACGCCGCUAAAAGCCUAUUUUGGUGUAGUGAAUAAACAAGUAGAUUGAACGGCUGGGUAGGAGAUAGGCUGUUAAAACAGUUGUUGCCCAAAAGGUUAAAGUGUUGUAUAACCAAAACAUUGUGCACACGUUUAGUAUAGGUUCUAUUUUUUUUUCUUCAGCGGGUGGAGGACUUGGUACGGGUCCAGUGCUGGUUAAACCUAAAGAUGCGUCAUACUUGAGUUGGAAAUUCUGGGAAUUUGAAAUGGUACCAGGCUGCUUUGGAGGGUUCAAAGUGGCAGUGUAUGUGGCUGUUAUAAUUAGCACUGUGACUACUAAAAAUGUGUUACGCAUCUCAUGUGGGAUUCCCUUUGUUGACACCAUUUUUUUUAUAAAACAAGGUCGACUUGGGUUUUAAAAAUGAAAACAAACACGAGAGUCGCCACCAAUCCUUUUUGAUAAGGUGUGAUCGGGCCACCUUAAAAGUGGUUAUUUUUAAUAAACAAUUUAAUUUUAUUAAAACAACGAUUUCGGUCCACGAAAUUCAAAAAAUCGGUUCAGGAGUCGUUUACGUACGAGGAAUGAUUAGCACUCUCGUAACGCCCAAAAUUGGUACCUAGUUGAUUAAUUAACGUCUUAAUGUUGAAGGUCGAAAGAUUUUAAAAUACGAUCCUUAUAUUAAAAACUUGGAUAAAUCAAAUUAGCCGUUAGGACCCUCUCAUUUCAGAGAGAGAAAAUAUUAUACCCAAUGAGUUAGGGCAUGAUAUUUCACCUCUUCAAAAAUGUGCUUGUCUAAACAACUCGUACAGUAAAAUUUAAAAGGAUAUUCAAUUGUUUAAGUCAGGUGAAAAAAUUGUAGCCCAAUACGUUAGGGCACAAUUUCUCAAAAUUCUAAACAUUGAAUAUUGCCUUUAUUUAUUUUUUAGAAAAAUUCACGUCUCGAGAAAACAACGUGUCAUAUCCAAUGCGUUAGGAUUCAACGUAUUGAAUUCCCGAUAAUGAGUUUUUAUUUAUGUUUUUGAUUAAAGAGCAUUCUCGAUUAUUUAGAUUCAACGAAGAAAAUUAGAACCCAAUACGUUAGGGCUCAAUCCUCUCGAAAAUCCCAGAUAUUGAGUAUUGCUAUUAUUUUAGAAAUUUUCCUUUUUUCCAAAUCUGAGUAAAAAUUGAUGUAAUGGAAUAACAAUUAUGAUAAUAUAAGUAAAAAUAAUAAGAGCAAAAACAAAAAGAUAAAUAAAUAAGAAGACAAAUAUUAAUAUAUAAAAAAAUCAUUCAUGUAUACACAAUAAACAAGUAAUAAGCAAAUAAAAGUGAAACAUUCUUUUAAAAUAAUAAUGAAAGCGUAAAUAGAUAAAUAAAUAAAGAAAAUGAAUAAAAUUAUAAGAAUGUAAAAAGAUAUAUGUAUGUACAUAUAUAUAUAAAUUAUAAGAUAUAAUAAGAAAUAUAUAUAAGCAUGUAUAUAUAUAUUUAUAAAAAUUAAAAAAUAUGUAUAUAGAUAUAUAUAUGCAUAAAAAUUAUAAAUUAUAAAAUAUAAAAAAAAUAUAAGAAUGUAUAUAUAUGUAUAAAUUAUAAAUAAGUUAUAAAAAUAUGUACGGGUAUAGGUAUAUAUAUAUUAUAAAAAUGUAUGUAUGUGUAUAUAUAACAAUAUAUGCAUGUGUAUAUAGAUAACAAAAUUUGAAGUUUAAAAAGUAUAGAUAAUAAUAUUAAUGAUGUAAUAUAAUAAUAAUAAUAUAUUAAAAUGAUCAAUUUAAUAAUAAAUAACUAAAAUACCAAGCAGAGGACUAAAUCGAAACUAAACAAAACUUUAGGGCCGAAAUCAAAAAUGAAGAGUAGAGAAAAGGACUAAAUCAUAACGCGUCUGAAAGGAAAAGGACCAAAAAAGAAAUAAACCAAGUCACCCAAAACGCAGCGUUGCAAUGGACUAAAAUGAAAUCAGUGAGAAAUUAUGCAGUCCAAUUUGAAGAAUAAAAAAAAUCAAAUUAAAACAAAGUGCAAAGGUGGAGGGCUUAAUGCGCAAAUAUCCCUCCAAAGUAAAAAAACACGCGGAUCCUUCUCAGGGUCGGGUCACUGCGCGGGUCAGGGCUAAAACGGCAUCAUUUUGGCUCCUGACCCUAAACAGCAAAACGCCGCCGUUUAAUAACCUUUAUUUAAAACAUAUUUUUUCUUAGAAAAAAAAUCAUUUUUUAGGGUUUUAGAAUAAAAUUGCAGAGGAAGAAACUCUCCUGUCGUCAGCCGAAUGGGCCACCAUCGGCCCCGCCGUGGGCGGUGGGCAGAAGGCCAAAAGUUGGGUUUUUUAAACCCCGCUUCAAGGGCCGUCUGAAGAUCGAGUUUUCAUGACCCUAAGGCCAUAGGAAGAAACCCCAAACGUCGCCUUCCCCAUCCGCUUUCGGUGACUCGAAGGACUCCGGUGACGACACUUACACGGCGAUUCAGGUAUGUUUUCCUUUCUCUUUUUAUUCUAUUUAUUUCGUAUGUAAAAAAAAAGAAGAAAUGGACCGAGAGAAAAAGCCAAUCGGAAAAUGUAAAAGGAAUCACCUUUAAAACUGUUUUCUUUUUUUAUUUCUUGAAUGUUCGUGGAAAAAAAAAGAAAAAAGACCCCCUUACAGAUGUAAAGAUCGGUUUUUAAAUCGAUUCUCCCCCCAAAAAAAUACAAAAAGUUUUUUUUUUAUUUCUUUCUAUUCUUCCUGUCACUGCUUCGGUUGCUUUGCAAGUACUUGAUGGUGGCAAGUGGCGGUGGGUAGGUGACAGAGGGCAAGUGAGCGGCGAUGUGACAAUGGCGGCUAAUCAGGGCAAGUGGGCGACAGAGGCUGCGACGCUAGGCUAGGGUUUCAGAAAAUUGAAACCCUAGUUUGACUGGGUUUGUUGGGCUGGUUUUUGGUCUGUAUUUGGGUUGUUUGUUUGGGCCAAGUUUGGGUUGAUAUGGUUAUAAUGGGCCCUUUGUAAUUUUUUGGGUUUGCCUGGGCAAAAUUCGGCUGUACACCCUUCUUUCCACGACUUGCUAUUGUUGCAAAUUUUUGAAGACUGACACCUUUCCUUUUAAAGAUUCGAUGUGGAAUGAAGAGAUGGAGGCUUUGGGAAGCGAGGAAGAGGAACCACUCAAACCUCCUGCUUUGCUUAUCAUGUCUUUAAUGGACUCCUUAUCGUCCACUCUCCCUUCAUCCAAUGGGUAUUGUGAUGGGAUAUCAAGUGCAGUCAAUCCCUUAGCAUUUUUGCAUUGAUAUGGUCAGCACACAAGCGUUUCAACAGUAAUUUUACCACCUGUUAAUUAGAAUAUUCAUACAAGUAACCUUUGAGUAUAUAUAUACAUAAAUAAUUUCACUUGCAAAAUUAUCAUACCUUAGGUCUGUUUCUGAUAGCAGCAACAUGUAAAACAAUGUUGCCAUCAAUGUCUGCCCAACUCAGAAGUUCUUUCUCCCAACAGUUGGCAGCUUUAUGGCGGCUCCUUAUAAGCCACCCCACCAAGACUUGGAAAGCUUCAAACCUGUCAUUUUUUACAUGAUUCUUUACAUGUUUUUGGUUCCACUGCAUAUUAUCAUGUAAAAGAAUCUAAGUUAGACCCAAGAGCAAAGAAAGCAUUAUUCAUGGGUAUAACUGGUGGAGUAAAAGGAUACCGUCUCUGGUGUCCUGAUACAAGGAAAAUUAUUUUCAGUAGAGAUGUGACUUUUGAUGAAUCAACCAUGAUGAAGAACAAUGAUUCACAAAAGGAUAACACAACCAAUGGCACUUUGCAGCAGGUGGAGCUUGAAAAGGUUAAUGAUGAUCCAGCUAAUAUUGAAGGAACAAAUGAUGAAGAAGUUUCGACCCAAGAACUUCUACAGCAACAUGAUUCAAUUGCAUAUAGAAGGCCAAGAAGAGAGAUUUGUAUGCCUGCUCGCUUUAAUGAUAUGGUGGCCUAUGCACUUCCAAUUACAGAUGAUGAUGUUCCUUCUACUUACACAGAAGCAAGAAGUAACCCUGAUGGUGUAAAGUGGAAGCAAGCUAUGAAUGAAGAAAUGCAGUCUCUUCAUAAAAAUAGGACUUGGGAGUUGGUGACACUACCCAAAGGAAAGAAGGCAAUUGGAUGCAAAUGGGUAUAUUCAAAGAAGGAAAGAUUUCCUGAUAAAAAUGAAGUUCGAUACAAGGCUAGAUUGGUAGUAAAGGGUUACGCUCAGAAAGAAGGAAUAGACUACAAUGAAGUAUUUUCUCCAGUUGUGAAGCAUUCGUCUAUUCAGAUUUUGCUAGCCUUGGUUGCGUAAUAUGAUCUUGAACUAGUUCAGCUCGAUGUGAAGACCACAUUUUUACACGGUGAUUUGGAAGAGGAAAUCUAUAUGACUCAGCCAGAUGGAUUCAAGGUUACUGAUAAAAAAAAUUGGGUUUGCAAACUGACAAAGUCACUUUAUGGAUUGAAACAAUCUCCGAGGCAGUGGUACAAGAGAUUUGAUCAGUUCAUGAAAGGGCAAAGGUAUACAAGAAGUAAAUUUGAUCAUUGCGUGUAUUUUUAGAAGCUACAAGAAGGAUUUUUCGUAUACUUGCUCUUAUAUGUUGAUGAUAUGUUGAUAGCAUCUAAGAGUAAAGUUGAAAUUGAGAGAUUGAAGACUCAACUCAACCUUGAGUUUGAGAUGAAAGAUCUAGGUGAAGCUAAGAAGAUCCUUGGCAUGGAAAUAUGUAGGGAUAGAGCUCAUGACAGAGUUAGUUUGUCUUAGAAGCAAUAUUUAAAGAAGAUACUACAGAAGUUUGGCAUGAACGAGCAGACUAAAGUUGUAAGUACCCCGUUGGCUUCUCAUUUCAAGCUUUCUACACAACUCUCUCCUUCGACAAAUAUGGAACAAGAAUACAUGUUACAAGUUCCGUAUUCUAAUAUGCAAUUGUGUGUACAAGACCCGACAUUUCACAGGCAGUUAGUAUAGUGAGCAGGUAUAUGCAUAAUCCUGGAAAAGGACAUUGGCAAGCUGUGAAAUGGAUUCUACGGUAUAUUCAUAAGACCAUGGAUAUUGGAUUACUGUUCAAGCAGGAUACUACACUUGGUAAAGGUGUUGUUGGGUACGUUGAUUCUGAUUAUGCCGGUGAUUUGGACAAACGGAGAUCAACCAUUGGUUAUGUGUUUACUCUUGCUGGAGGACCAAUAAGUUGGAAGUCUACACUGCAGUCUACAGUUGCGUUGUCAACCACAUAAGCUGAAUACAUGGCUGUAACAGAGGUUGUAAAGGAAGCUAUUUAGUUACAAGGUAUGGUUAAAACCUUGGGUUGGUUCAGGAGCAUAUUAAUGUGUAUUGUGAUAGUCAAAGUGCUAUUCAUUUAGCAAAGAAUCAAGUCUAUCAGGCACGUACAAAGCAUAUCGACGUACGUUUCCAUUUUGUGCGGGAAAUUAUUGAUAACGGGAAAAUUCACCUUCAGAAGAUUAAGACUGCAGAUAAUCCUGCAGAUAUGAUGACCAAGGUGGUAACAACAAUCAAGUUCGAACAUUGUUUGAACUUGAUCAAUAUUCUGCAUGUUUAACACUUGAAGAAUCCACUAUCAAGUGUUGUUGACAAAGGCAGAGAGAAUUGUGUGAAGAUAAGAUUACUCGAAUCAAAUCUUCAAGGUGGAGAUUAUUGGGAAUUAUCCAUAUUUAUGGAAAAUCAAAGAUAUGGGUAUCAAAUAAUAGAAAUUCAAAGAUAUGGGUAUUAAAUAUUGGAAAGUCAAAGAUAUGGGUAUCGAGAUAUUGGCAUCAUAAAAUUUGAGAUAUUUGCAAUAUAUGGUCUCUAAUUGUAAAGUGACUUUGCAAGUUGAUCCCUGAACCUCAACUAUAAAUAAGCAUGACCAUCUCUCAUUCUGUAUCUCAAACUUGCCAUUCUUUACUUAAGGCAUUGUUUUCUCUCUCUCUCUCUUUGUAAAUUCUCACUUGUAUUUUGGAGUGAAAUAUAUUUGGUAGUGGCCGAGGAUGUAGGCAAAAUUUGCUGAACCUCGUUAAAUUAUUGUGUUCUUUAUUGUAUUAUUCUGCAUGAAUUGUGUGUGUGAUUGUAGUGAUUUAUUGUGCCAUUAAAUUACGAUUGAGGGAUAUUCUGGCUAAGGAAGACCUGGUACUUAAGCGAUCCUUGUGAUCCACCUCUCUUUCCUGGGAAUUGAACUUAGUGUGAUUUUUUAGUACAAAAAUUUUACUCUUUUACACGCUUCCGCACAACAUCUUUAAUGAUAAAAGCUUAAAGAAUAAUCUUUAAAAUUUGGUUGUUGGUAGCUUUAUUUGGGUAGAAUUUGAGAUUUAGUUCAUAUAUUUUAAAUGUUAAAAUUUUAAUUUUUUUUACUUUUUCAAUUUAAUAUUGUAAAAUAAAACCAUAAAAAAAAUUGUGUACAAAUAGUAUUGAAUUUACAUAAAAAUAUAUAAAAAAUGCAGCAUAAAUUUGAAUAAUAAUACAUGAACACUUAAAAUGAUAAUAUAUGAAAAAAAACUUAAGAUAAUAAUAUACGAUAAAUUUAAACAAUAUUAAUAAUGAAUUUAAAAUAAUAUUAAGCAUAAAUAUUAAAAUAAGGUUAGAUUUAAAAAUAUAUAAAAAUAAUGGAAUAAUAAAUACUUAAAUAAAUUAGAAAAAUAAGCAAAUUAAAUCAAGCUAAUAAGGAUUAAAUUGGAUUUAAAACAAAAUUAGAAGGCAAAAACGUAAAUAAAAUAAAAUAAAGGACCCAAUUGAAAGGCGCGAAUAACUCAAAGGGACCAAAUGGGGAAAUAUCCCCGCCUUUUGAAAUGCAUCGUUUCACCAGGACCAAAUCAGAAACCAAAUAAAAUUUAAAGUAUCAAUUGAAGAAAAUAAAAAAAAUUGAAUUAAAAUAAUAAAAAAUACGGAGGGGGCAAAUGCAUAAAUAUCCUUACCAAGACCAGAACAGGCAGAUCUAGCUGCCUCUGGGUCGAGUCAUCGGGUAUAGUCAAUACGGCACCGUUUUGGAGCCAUUGAAACAGACUUUAAAUGGUGCCGUUGCAUGGCCUUUAUAAAACAAAAAAAAAAAGAAAAAUAAACAAGUUUUUAGCCAUUUCGAAUCAGAUAAAAACCUUAGCCACACGCCGUUUAGAAGCCUGGCCAUUCAAAGGCCAAUCGAUCCCUGUCUGAACUUCGAUUGCGACAGAGUGAGCAAGGAUUCGACACCACCAAGUAAUUUUCUCACCUUAAAUCGUUUUUUUCUUUUUUUACACAUGAUGAGUAAACAAAUAGAUGAGUCUAGAACAGAAAAGAAAAACAACGAAAAGAAAAAAAAAGGUUUCAAAUCACCUUUAGAAAAUUCUGAUUCUUUGAUUUUUCGUCCCCUUUUAUAGAUUUUUAAUUGGCUUUUUAUAGCCGAAACGAAAAAAAGAAAAUAUGUAAAAAAGAAAUCUAUUAUGUUAUCUAGCUAUUUUCAUUUGCUGGCAUAUUGUUGCUCGCUUUUUACUGUUAUUCGUUUCUGUUUCAGGUGUACGAAGGAGCGAUGACGUGGAGGUGCAACACGCGUGGAGGCCUGGUUCCCAGCUGCGGCGUGGACUGUUCCAAAAACCCUAGGGGUUUCUGGAGAUUUCAAAUUGGGCCACUUCAAAUCGGGCUAGGGUUUAAUUAAGUCUAGGAUUGUAUUAGGUCUAGGAUUGGGUUAGAUUUUGGGUUUAGGCCUCAAUCCGAAUUUGGCCUAUUGUAACUGAACUUUUGGACUUAUUAAUGGUUAUUUUGGGUAUUGGGCUAUUAGGGUUUGUUGGGUUUGGGUUUUAGAUAUUUGGGCUGAUUUGUGUUUGUUUAUUUUGGGUUGUUUGUGUAAUUCUGGAAUUUUUAUUUUAUUGGACUUUUAUUUUUUGAUUUGGUUUUUUUUUUGUGUGGGCUCGAGCAGAUUGGGCCUGCUACAAUAUUGAUGCAAAACUUUGUCACUAAAGUGCAAAUUGUAACAAUAGUUAAGUAGUCUUUUGUUCGAAUAACAUUAGAAGCACAUCAAAGUCAAAGCACAUAGACUUUAAGUUCAUUGUUGUUAAAAUAAAAGUUUAGGGUGGUUAGAUGUCUAUAAAGUAUAUUGAGACAAACUCCAUGGUUGUGGAUUCGCUUAUUAAGGGACUACCACCCAAAGCUUUUUUCCUGAGCACACUGUUGAUAUGUGUGUAAUGUCAUUCAAGGAUAUUUGAUUUUAGUAGGAGUUUGUACUUUUAAACGUUUUUAUGUUAUAAAUACAUUUUCAAUUAUUUUAGUUUACAAAUAUUAAGUUUUUUUUUUGUAGAAAGAAAGUUUAUUUGGUAAAGUUUGAUCUCACUAAGAUUAAUGUGGACCGGUUAGAAUAUGCAUGUUUGAAUCAUAUUACAUGUAAUUUUCAUGUUACACAUCCAUACUUAAUCUAUGUCAUUUGGUUGUGCUAAUAUAUGUGAUUAAGGCUGGAUUUAGUUAUGAUAUAUGUAACAAAGUUGCAUUCUUUCUAUGUUAACAUAAUUAAUGGACAGAUUGUUCGAAAUGCCUUUUAGAUACGAUAGUAAAAUUUUGAGCUCAUAAGGUUAUAUAAUGACAUGUAAUUAUAAGGUAAUCGGUAUAUAUAUAUAUGUCAUCCAAGUGGUAUAUAUGGACAUCACAUAUAUAAUAAGCAUGUUACAUGUUAUUAUUUACUAUCAUAAAAGAUUAACUCAAAUUAAAAGUGACCUAAUUUGGUUAAGAUUUAUUGGAUUUUAGUUAUUAAAUAAAAUAUAGGUCAAUAAUAUGUGUAGAUACUCUAGUAACUAAUUUCUAAUUUAUGAUGGGCUGAUUAGAAAUUAGGUUAAUGUGAAAAUGUUAUAUAUUAGGAUUUUAGUCUCCAAGUUACGCAUAUGUAACUUUUCUAAUAUCCCAUCUUGAGAAAAGAGAGAGUCACCUUCUUUAGAUUACUUGUGAGCUAAUUUGGAAGAUCAAAACCUUAAAAUUCGUAGAUUUCAAGAAAUCGGUAAAUUCAAAUACGCUUCUGCAUUUAGUUUUGUUCUUAAUUAUUUGACAUGAUAGAUUCUGAUUUAUUAAGUUUUGUAAAAGAGUUUUACGGUUUUAAUAGGAUAAUUACGAAUCCCAAAUAUAAACUGUAAAACGGACAUGAAGAAUAUAAAAGAAAUAUUACAAGAAUUUUGAAAGAGAAAAUUAAAUUGAAAAUUUUAAUGUUAUUUUUAUCUUUCAUAAUUAUUUUUAUUUAUAUUUUAUUUACAAGAACAUUUUAUUAAGAGUUUAUUAGGAUUAAGUUUAUUUUUACUUUUAUUAAAUAAAUGUUAGACUAAAAAUAAACUUUUUUUUCCACUGUUGGUAUAAUGGAUAGUAGGCUAGGUUGUCCUUUUUUAUUUGUUUAGGCACCCGUGUAUGAGAAUAAUUUAUAUUAGAAUAGUCCUAAAGGUUAAAGAUUUUAAUAUUAAUAAAAUUUUGUCACAUCAUUAAAUUUUAAAAAUAUAAAAUUAUUAUUAUACAUUCGUUCAUAUUAAAUUUACUUUUUAACUUUCGUUCUUCUUAAACAUAAAUAAUUAAAAUAAAAAUAGAAAAAUAGAAUAUUUAAAAUUUAUACAAUCCUUAAAGAUUUAAUCCAAUAUUUUUUUUUGUUUUAAAAAAUGUAUAAUAUGAAAUAGAAAAAAAAAUUAAAAUGGAAAAACUCCAUUGCCUAUAAACUAAUUUUUUUUAAAAAAUUGGUUACAAAAAUUAAAAAUAUUAACUUCUGAAAAAAAACUAAAAAUGAUUAAAAUUUAUAAAAGAAGAAAAGAUGUUUAUUUAUAAUUUAAAAAAAUUAAUUAUUUUAAGUAAUUUAAUUAAAGUUAAAUUAAGUUAAGAAAAAGGAGAAAUGGAUAAGUAUAUAAUAAUACAUAAUUUGUUAAAUAUAUAAAGAAAUUUAUUUGAUUUAGUACCUAAAUAUUAAUAUUCGAAACUCUCGAUUUUUCACAAUUUAUUCAAUCAAAUUUAGAUCCAACUUUAAUUAUAUUACAAAGACAUUCUAUUUUAUUAUUUUAUUAACGGGUGAAAAAACUUAGUUCAACCCAUAAACAUUGACCACAAAGGGAAAUUUGAAACACUUACCACCAAUCCCCUAUCAGAAAGUCUUUCCCACAUUCAACUAGAAAUCAGAGCUCACCAAAAUGUUUAUUCUUUUCAAUCUGAACCGACUCUACAAUCACUUAUUGCUCAUGGUCUUCAGCCUAUAAACCCAGAAGCAUUAUUAACUUCUAAAUCCAAAACACUAAUAUCAGCAUCCAACCCUACAAUGGUAGUCUUAUUGACUCAUUUAAACAAGUUUCCUUUGUCAAUCUAUAUUCCAUAUUGGGUAAUCUCCAAUAUUAAUUCAGAAUUUAGGAUAGCUGGAACAAGAAUAACAGCAAAGAUGCAAAGCGAAACGACUUGUAGGAGGAGGAAGAACCUUCUUUUGGGUACAAACCUGUAUAGCAUAUAAUAGGAUGUCCUGUAUAAUGUCACGAGAGCUAGUACCGUUGCCAAGCAGUAAUUAGUAGUGCUGAGUUUAGAAUAGGAAACGGAUCCAGGAGUCGAAAGAUAGAAAAAAUACUGAAGUGCGAGUGUCCGUAUGGAAACAGCAACCAAAAGCAUGUAACAGGUCCCAAACAAGGAAAGUGUUAUGAGAAUAAACAAGGACAUUGAACGGCUGGGUAGGAGAUACGCUGUUAAAACAGUUGUUGCCCAAAAGGUUAAAGUGUUGUAUAACCAAAACAUUGUGGACACGUCUAGUAUAUUUUCUAUUUUUUUUUCUUCAGCGGGUGGAGGACUUGGUACGGGUCCAGUGCUGGUUGAACCUAAAGAUAUGUCAUACGUGAGAUGGAAAUUCUGGGAAUUUGAAAUGGUAUCAGGCUGCUUUGGAGG
rnacentral:lncRNA from 1 species